rnacentral:lncRNA from 1 species
AGACUCAAACCUAGAACCUUGCACAUCCCUGCCCCAAGUAUACAAGAGUUGUUCAAGACAGUGAUCUCUCCCUCUCUCUCUCUCUCUCUCUCUGAUAUGUGAAUUUAAGUAGACAAGAGGGUUCAUGAUAACAAUCUCUUGAAACUUAUUUUUUCAUUUCUCACUCCCCUGUGUUGAUAACAUUAGUGGUUUCUCUGUGUUGUUAUCUGAAGUGGCUUAUUCUGUUUGAGCACUGAGCUUCCAAAAUGCAUAUUAGCAAUGUACUCUUUAUUCUCUCUCACCCUCUUCCCCUCUAUAUGCACAUGGACAAUGGUUGUAUUUACCUGUUUGUUUUUCUUUGCUGGAAUGACAUACAAUUGCUUUGAUAAACAGGAGGAAGUUAGGACCCAAAUUUCAGUAUUGGAGACAGAUCUAACGCAUGAAAGGAAAAAAUCUACAUCUGCAAUUGUUCGGGUUGAGAAAUAUAUUGAAGCAAGGCGGGAGAUGGAUAGGAAACUUGAUAUUCAAUAUCAGCGCAAUAUGUAAGCUUCACGUUCUGGUUCUUUAUUGUAUUUUUUUUUAAUCCUGAAACAAGGUUAAUCAUGUCUUUGGCUUAUCAUUCUGGAUUUUUUAGUCAGCUAUUCAUAUUUAUAAUUUAGUUUGGCUAUUUUCCAAAAUGUCAAAGCAUCAUUACAUUUGGUCUUAAAUUUUUGGUUGGCAACUAUGGUCAUUCCUUACUUGAACUGUUUUGAAUUGUUCCUGUUUGGCAAGAUUGAAAUUUGGAUUACCUACUGCAUCAAUUAUGCCUUGUGUGGUUCUGUGCUUGCUAAAUUAUUACAGAAGCUCAGUGGCAUUCUUGACUUUUAAUUGGAACAAUUUAGUGCAGAAGCGCUUGACAACCACAUGACUGCUGUUCAGAGGGACCAUGAACAUAGAUCCCAAAUAGAAGAAAGGCGAAUAAGGAAUGAGGCUGCUUUUGAAGAGGCAAGAAAAGAGAAGGCUCUUCAAGAAGAAAAGCUACGUCAAGAAAAGGCUAAAGCAGAAGCAAAGGUUUGUUUAGUUGAUAUUCCAGUUUCAUUGAUGUUUUGUUGGUGAAUCUCUGGUUGUAGUAUUUGUGACAUAUUACUACUGUUAUAGGUAUCUAUUCAGGUAUAUUGAAAUAGUUAUUUAUUUAUUGGUGUUGUAUUCUAAAUGACUUUAUUUUUUUCCUUGUGGCAUCUGAAACUUGGAUGUUUUUGCUUUUAAACUCAGAAGGAAUCAUAUUCAUACAUCAAUUUGUUGCCAUCUGUUUACUCUGGCAUGGUUAUCUAUCACUGCAGUUAUGUCUUGAUUUUGGAGCUAUCCAUGUUUUUCCUACUAUUUUGACUCAUUCAAGAUGUGCUUAACACUUCUGCAUUAAUUUUUAUUAUGCUGUAUCCAAUUACCUAUAUCCAUUAUUGAGAUCCUUUUAAGCCGAAUCAUUGUAUUGUCAAAUUUUGGGAUGUGAAAGAUCAGAUGCCUAGACACAUACCAGCAUCAGACGCAUGUUGUCUUUCUCUUAGAAUCUUGUGCAAAUUUCAUACUUUGACUCACCACAGGCAAACCUAUUAUUUUCAGUAAAUUUCUCUCACCUAAUCAAGAAUUGAUCAAUUUUUCACCACUGUUGUAGUAAGUGUGCCCUAAGUCAAGCCUUGACCUCUAAUAGAAAAUAUCUCAGACUAAAUCUUCAGUUGGAAUGCUUCACAGGAAUGCAAAGAGCCCAAAUUUGGAUUCUGAUAUGGCUUGUUGGAUCCAAUACUGCCUGUUGGAUCUGCAAAUGCAUUUGGUCCAACUUUGGUUGGCAUGUUGAAAAUAAGUAGAGAAUUAUCAAAAUAAGAAACACCAACCUAUCAAAAAAUUAAAAAUUAAAAUAAGAAACACCAAGCUCAAGGAUUUAUAUGAUUCACUUAAUAGGCUAUAUUCACCAAGAUGAUCUACAAAGUUUAAUAAAAUAACUUAUUUAUGGUGGAUUUUCACCAAAAACCACCAAAAUGGUGUGUUGAUAGAGAGUUGUAGAGCCUGAAACAAGAAGCAUCCUCAACAUAAAAAAUGGAUUUGUUCUGACAAUCAUGGAAACCAGUACCCAAAACAAACCUGAACAAGAAUUGUGUAGAGAACCGCUCUCCACUGUAGAAACCACACUCAAAGAGUCACAAUGAUUUCUCCUAGAAGGCUCUCUCCUAAAGUAGGACAUCUCUACUUUAGGUACAACCAAAUUACACUCUGAACCGCUUAAAUUGUAUAGUUGCGAACCCAAAGUCCUCAUUGAGCAAGGAAUAGAAAGUUGGCAACUUCCAUCCCAACUUGAAAACCCCAAAAGAAGUUUCCUUGAAGCAAAAUCUAUACAAAAAGAACCCUCAAUACGCAAUUGGAUACAUAUUCCCAAUGACAACUUAAAUUUAUCUGAUAUUUUGUCUGUUCAGAUAUUGAUUUUAUACACUAAACUAUAAAAAAAUUUAAGACUGUUUAAACUUGUCCCAAAAUUGAAACAGGGCUGAUCUGACAAGAGUCAAAACCACUUGGCGUCUGUGGCAUAGGUGCUUGUCUAUUAUAUACUUUAGGAUGAUAAUACUUAGUUUGUCAGAAGUAAGUUUUAUACUUUUGGAUGCAGGUUAGACUUGAGUUGGCGGCAAAGAAGAGAGCUGAGGAAGCAAAAAUAGCAGCUUUGGAAGAUGAGAGAAGAGCAGCAAAAGAAGCUGCAGAAAGGGAAGGUAUUGGAGCCUCUACAAGAGCUGCUACUGAAGUUGCCCCAAAGGAAGCUACAGGGCACCAGAGAGAUGCUAGUUUGGGAAUUUUAAAUGCUCAAUUGAAUGGAUCCAAAACUGAUGGAACUAAGAAAGCACAAUCAGCAGGUAUUUCUAUUUCCAAAUUGAAAGGACACGACUUUUUCUUUCUACCAGCCAAAACUUUAAGGAAUCUAAUGGUAGUUUUUCUUUUUAAACCAAGCCAACACCAUGGCUGUCUUCUAUUAAAUUUCAACACCUUUAAUACAAUUUCUUGCUUAGUAGUACUUUAAGUUAUUUUUAGAUGCUUCUCAUAAGAUUUUUUCUUAUCUAAGAAUGCAACUCACAAAUAUGAUUACAGGUAAUAUACUUAAGUCUGCAGAGAGUGCCCUAAAAUUAGAGCAAGAGAGACUACAGAAGUACAAGGAGUUUGAUGAAAAAACCCAGGCACUAGGACAAAGUUCCAAUAAGGUAAUGCCAGAAAUAUUGCUUUUGUGAUUUAUAAUUUAUAUGCUUAGUUUUCUGGUUGUUUUGGUUAUUCUUCUACAAUUUUAUAGCAUUAUCACACUGCAUUAAUUUUUAUUUUUUUUUAAAUUACUCAAUUUGCAAUAUCCAUGGUGUUGAAACUACAGCCUUGUAGUGGAAUAUUCUAAUGCAUUUUGAUAUCUAUCAAAUGUCAAACUCAAGCUUAAAGCUUCAAAUGUCCACGCAACUCCUUCAAGAAUCUUGGCCCAUAUGACAAACCCUGCUUAGGUGGAGGUUUGGUCCUCGAGUCUUAGUUCAAUUUAUGGACAUAGAGAACCCAUCUCCCCUUAAUCCCUCUUUAAGUUAUCCAUGGAUGGCCUAUUGCCUCUCCUUUUACACAUAUUCCUUUUCCUUUCAGGGAGUUGGCUAUUCCUCCUAACCCUGAAGUUGGCUGUAAUCAGUCUACUGUGGUAGUCUGUGUUCAUGCUUCUGUGACACUUCUACUAUGAUUACUCCUUUUGGGGACUCUUUAAUGAAUGUAAUAAACUUAGUUCCUUUAGAACACUUAUCAAAUGACAAUCCCUAACAAAUGGAUUAGCCAUAAAGGGCCUUUUAUCCAAUGAGAUUGGAGUAGCUAGAGUGCAGUUGUCCACUUUAAAAAUUAGGCUACUGAACCUCAAAGACCAUGGAUCCCUUUGAUCCAAGCCUAAGUUAACAUCUACUAAAUGAGAAGGCAUAGAUCCCCUUACUCAAACUUGGAUCAUUGGUUUGGUAUUCAUGUAUUCUGGUUUAAGGAAGGAUCUUCUGGGGGUUGUUGGUUAUAACUAUCUAUUGAAAAUUGGAGAAAGAAAGGGUGGUGAAAUUUUUGUUUUUCUCCUUAAAGGUUGAUUUGGUGUGUCUCCAGCAGUAAAAAAGUGGAUUCUAUGUCCAUUAAGGCUGUAAGAAGCUUGCAGGUGGAUGAUUAGAAGAAGGAUUUCUUGUCUUCUUGAGACAGGGAUUACCAUCAUUUAGGGUCUUUGUCACUCUGUUUGUUUGUAUUACCUUUCUAUCUUCAAGGCCUCAUCUGUUGUUACAUUUAGGAUUAAGAAAAUUCAAACAAAUUUUCUUUAGUUGAGGCCAGGCUCGGAGGAGAGAUCACUUGACAAUUGCUUUUUUUAUUAAUCAUGAAACAACAAAUUUAUUGCAUUGAAAUAGUAAGUACAAAAAGGGAUAAGAAAUCCUUCCAAAAAUAAAUAAAUAAAGGUUCCCAAAAAAACAGGAAAAAAUAUGUAUGGACUUUUUUUUGAGGAAAUUAAAACAAGUAGCACAACUAGAAAAGGAAACCAAAAGAAUGUUCAAUCUCAAAACUGCUUCAAGAACUUAGAGUCCCUUAUAAACAAAACCAACAGUUUUCUCACUUACCAAGCAUGAAAUUAUUAACUAUGCUUGAAGCCUUAAAAGAGUAGCAUCCUAAAUAUCUAGUGACAUCAGAAAUUUGGCAAAGCCACUCCAGCAUCCUUCUAUGGAUCUCUUUCCUUUAUGGACGUUUUUAAGAUGAUAAUACUUGAGUCUCCUUCCGCCUAAAGAUUAGGAAGGCUUAAAGUCUUGGCCUGCAGCAGGACUCCAAAAGUGUUGGUAUAUCUGCCUCAAUAGCCGAAUCUUUUCCAACAGGUUUAGAAAAAACUUUCAACAAUUUACUUGUUACUAGUGUGAUAUUGAAGCAUUCCUCUAGGCUCUAGCUGUCCUAGGUUACAAAAGAAUAGCGACAAAAUCUAAUUUUAUUGGGCUCAUCAUAGCCAAUAUCAGCUUAGGACUUCUCUUACCACCUAACCCAUUGGAAUUGCUGGCCAGGCUCCAGUUUAGUAAUAAAAAACUCAAAGGAGUGCUCAAAAGGCAUUGGUGGCAGAAGCGCAUAGAGAAGAAUAGAAAUAGACCAACCUUCCAAAGCCUCCAUCUAAAUAAUCCCAUCAUGCCACUUAAUGGAUAGAACCAUUUAGUCCAUAAUCCAGAUAUUUGAACAAAAAUACAAUUUAGAAAUAUUUGACACUUCAGUUUAGGAAUAAAAAACUCAAAUUUGUGCUCAAAGGCAUUGGUGGCAGAAGCGCAUAGAGAAGAAAAGAAAUCAACCAAGCUUCCAAAGCCUCCAUCUAAUUAAUCCCAUCAUGCCAUUUUAUGGAUAGAAUCAUUGAGUCCAUAAUCCAGAUAUUCCAACAAAAAUACAAUCUAGAAAAAUUUGACACUACAACAGUUAAACAGGCUGGAAAAAAAAAAGUAAAGAAAAAGAAAACAGAAAAAAAAAAUGAAAAAUCCAAUUCAGUCAGCCUUCCUAAAGAACACCAAGGUAGGAGCAGCACAUGCUGAUAUUUGCUUGAAUAGUAAUGCCAAGAGCUACAUAGUAGCAAAGUGGCUAGCAUAACCAAAUCAACUAUUAACACGAUAAGCCUUACAUAGACCACAAACUGGUAUUCAAACCAGUACAUCCAGUUCAUUUAGAAUCAAAGCAAUGCAAAUUGCUCUAUUCAAACAUGUACAGCCUUGUGGUCAGUUGAUUUAGAAUUGAUUCAAUGCAAAUGCUCAACCAUGUGCAUAAUGCAUACUGGAAUCUAUGCAAUGCAAGUCACAGACUUUGGAAGCCAAGAAGGGUAUGUUAAAGCUCAAUAAGGUGUGGAAAUGAUAGGCUCUAUUGGAUUUAGAUUUGUGAUCCCUUUGGGUAAAAUAGAGGUCCAAGAAAACUGAAAAUAGUAUUCCAAAGUGACCCUUAGGUGCACUCUUGCAAAAUCUAGAGGGUGUCCUGCACAAUUAACAAUUGUGUUUGUGCCACACCAGUCCAACCUAAAUCCUAAUGUCAUAGUCCUAAGUCUGAGUUUGUGGCUCAAAAGAUAUCAGGUAGAAUUCAGCCUAGAGUACCCCACCUUAAAUCACCCAACCCAUUCAGGAGCAUAGGUAGGCAACUUCCAAGGACACUCAAUGACAUCCUAUACGUACCUACAUGCAGUAUAAAACAGCCCCAGAAAGUCAUUUCAAUGAAUACCAAAUGCAUUUCACUUGUCUUGAUCAUUCAUUUGUCACUUAAAAGUACACACAAUAGGCCUUUUCCUUUUGCAACACAAUCAAUACCCUAACAAGUCACAAAUGCAUGGAAAAACAAUUAAAAAAUUUUCCUUUUUAUCACCCAUCCUAAUCCACAAUUCUAAGCUUAAAAUGCCAAAACCAAGUGUCUGAAAUUCAAGUCCCAAAAUUAUAGCAACUUGUGCACAAGUUAUACUACCAAAACUGCUAUCACUUAUAUAAACCAAAAUUUCAUUAUCAAACACAUAGUUCAGGUCCCAAGUUCUAUGCAAAAUCAUUCUUUAUAGUUCUGGAAUAAGCUGCUAAGUGAUGUUCAACAAGCACAGUUCAAUUACCAUUAGGUCUGACUAUUGUGAACAGGAAAACUCAAUUAGAGGCUCAACCGUUAUUCCAGGAUUUCUACUCAAUCAAUCAGUCUAAACAAGCUGAUCCAUGUACAAUUGCAUUCACAACAAUUAUGCAACUACCAAAAGAGUUCAUCAGCUAUUCAAAAACAAGGCAACUGAUGUUAUGAAAUACUGUACAGGGCUUGGUAGUCAGAGAAAGACAGUUUCCAUUGUAGACACAGUGCAUUUGUCAAGGUGUAAUGCAAAUGGGCAUUUAAUUUACAAUGCACUCGUUUAAAAACUGAAAUUAUGGAAGGAAAACUCAGCGCAGAAUCCAAGGAAUGACGCAGUCAAGUGAUCAGUAGAAAGCUUCAAGUGAAAGCAAACCACUACACCUAACCCCCUAAAGCUUUCUAGAUCAUGCUUUGCCCACUUGAAUUCAACUUGCCAUACUCAAUGACCCAAUAGAUGAAGGAGGACCAAACUGGAGCCCUAGAAUGCACUUUAACACGACCAUGACAGGUUUCUUGAACAGAGUGAAAUAAAAGAAGUGGUAAUGGAGAGAAACUUUGCAGGAAUUUUAGGUGGGAAUACUAUUUUAGGGGCCUGUGCUAAUCAUUCUCUGGGUGCUCUGGAUCAAUAAGAGAACUAGAGUUUUUGAAGAUCUGUGUAGGACUAGAUAUCCCAUGAGAUUCCAUUUAUUACCAUUUUUCUCUUCAGGAGUUUUGUGUUUAAGGCAUGCAUUUUAUUAUGAUUUUAUUGGAUUGUGGAGAAUUGUGAAAUGAAGGCAGGGGGUGUUUAGAAGGUAGCAUUGACUGGAAACCUGGAAAGGUUUCCAGGUUAGAGCCUUCUCCAAAUUGGUUGGUUCUGGUUGGCCAUUUAGGUAGAGUGUCAUGCUUAUUUGGAAGGUUUGAUGGAGAUGUCCUCUCGAGGGAGAUCUUAGCUGUAGUUAUCUCAUAGGUUACUCAGGGGAUGAGGGAGCCAUGACAAUUGGAUUCUUUAAUCUGUAAGAUAAUUGAUCUUUCUAGAGAUUCAGUUGUUCUUUUGAGUUAUAUGUGUAGGUCACAAAAUUGGGUAGCUAACAGGUUGCCCUAACAAGGAACCUUUUCUUGGAAUUCUUUAUUUGUGGAUGCUGGUGGUUGUUAUUCUCAGUGGGUUAAUUUCAUUAAUAAAGUUUUGUUGCUUAUCAAAAAAGAUAUAUUUAGAACUUAAAUGCUGGCUUAUUUCCCGUAAAUCAUUCUGUCACUUGGUUUCAUGCAUGGGCAGGAUUUUCAGAGACAUGAACAGCAAUUUGCUAGGCGAAUAAGACAAAUAUCAGGGUCAAAAGAGAAUGUCAGGUAGGUGAAGACUUUCAUUUAGGUUCAUGGAUUGUCAUGGUAUAUUAUUGUUUUUUAAAUGUAAUUUCUGCAUGGUUGCAAUUUGUUAUGAUAGUAACCAAUAAAUUGUAGGAACUUGCCAAGUUUUGACUUUAACCAUGCUUUUAAGCAAAAUACAUGACCCAAUGCCCACCAAAAUCUAGCAACUAUUCUAUCCUUGCCUUGGAGGUGGACCUUACACAGGACAAAAGUCUAUAUGGAGAUGAUUUCAGCCUUUGCACCUUGUGAAGGUCCGGCAACCUAUUAUGCUAAAUGCUUCCUUAUUUCUGUCAUAGCUCAAGGGAGUUUGGACAGAAUAUUUUUCAAUAAUGGCUCCCAGCAUUCCUAUUGCUUACCAUGUAUGACUUGUGGGAUUGGGGCCUGGAGCCUGUGGAUGGAGAUGCACACCCUCAUAGGAAUUCAUUUUUGUUUUGUUUUGUUUUUUUUUUUUUUUUUUUGUAUAUAUAUUUUUUUUAUGAGAAAGAAAAACAUUGUUGGAAACUAGGAAGGAGGCACAUGAGUUCUUUCUUGAUUUGAGGUGAUUCUCUUUUAUGUGUGUGAUUUUACGCCCUAUUUCUGUGACUUUGUACUCGCUGAAAUGAGGGUUGUGGUAGUUUCUAAAAUCAAUAGGCCAUGGGUACUCAACCAAUAAGAAUAACUAUCUCACAACUUUCAAAUUAGCCCUUAUAACAUGAUUUAAGAAGAUAAGUCUGUUAAUAUUUUUUACACGUUCUCAGUUUUGGUUUCUCAAUUUGCAUAAGUUUGACAUGACCACAUCUCUGAAACAUUUCUUUUCAAUACUUCCAAUUUGUGUUGAAAUACUUGUACAUAUUAAUGCAACUUCUACUAUUGAUCUACUUUCUGCAGAACAAAAGGGAAUGCACUAAUUAAGAUGUUCAACGAUCCUCUUUGUCCUCAACCAAUCAAUGUUGCAAUAUUUGUGAAGAAGGUAUUGUCUAUUGUUUGGUCUGGAAUCGCAUUUUUUCACUCCCACUGCAUGUUGAUAGUAUGUUUAUAUGCAAUUCCAAUUUUUUGAUACUGCAGGUUGUUUCCUACUUUGAAGUGGAUCAGCCUAGUAAGGUUACUUAUGCAUGUGGUCAUGUCAUUGUUUUUGUUGCUUCACAGGUACAAUGUUGUUCAUACUUCCCUUUUUUUUUUUACUCCUUAAUUGUCAGCACAAAGGGGUUGUCUGUGGGGUUUGGAAUGGGGGAGAAUUAUCUGCAGUGUCUAAUAUUAAGCAGGAUUUCAUGAUUUCUUGGAUCAUUUGAAGUUAAUAACAUUGCAGUAAUUGGAGAAGUAGAUAUUAGGUCAUCAUUCAUGUCAUUUUAUACAAACACACAAUGUAUGUAUUUACAAAAGAAGUCUAUUUGGUAUCAUACAGGAUGUAGACACCAUUUAGGGAAGUUAUAUCCAUAUACUGGCAUUGCUGGUUGGGGUACUAAAGCAUUGACUCAAGAGUCAAUCCCCAAUUGUUUAGUCUGAAAAUACCUGUUAGGUCAUUGGUUAGGUUGGUGGGUAGCCCUCCCAAGCUGCUGCCCUUGUACACAACAUAAUUAUGUAUAUUAUUUAAAUGUGUCAUGCCUAUGAAAAAGCAUAUAUGUUAUCUAAAUGUGUCUCAUACCACUGGUGUUCUUGGGUUUAUUCUAAUGAGUUGCAUGUAUCUUUAAUUUAUGAAUCAGGUUCCAUAUGCAAUGGAUCUUCUUCUUGCUGAAUUACAUCGAGUUUGCAUAUAUACUGUGCCAAAGCAUAUAGAUUACUCAAAGGUGACUCAAAUUUUUAACUCUCACCAGCCAUUCUUCAUUAAUGCUCUGUGGUGACAUGCCAUCUGAGGGAACAAUUUAUUGUGCCUUGGAUAUUAAUUGAAUUUGACAAAACUUGCCUCCUGGAAUAUCCUUAUUUUUCCAUGAUCAGUUAACCCUUGCAUGGACAAGCCAUGCAAAGUGAAGGUUCAGAAAGAUUUAGAUGGGUGUCAUGCUUUUUAUUGUUACUGGUGUCACUGCUUGCAUAGAUUCUAAAACCUUUCUUACUUCUUCAGUCAGCAUUCAAAUCGAAAGAGGAUUACUACAAAAUGAUUGGCUAUCGAGAAGAAAAUGGGAAAAUUGAAAGAACUGAAGAUUAUUUGAAACGACUGGCAUGUUACAUGAAAUUAUAUGCGGCACUGGUUCAGGUUUUGUUACUAUCAUACUAUGCACUGAAUGAAUUUGAGGGCCCUAGUUUUCUCUAUGCUGAAACUGAAUUUUAUUUUUUAUAAUCUACUUUCUCCAUCAUGAGAUUUGUUGUCCCACUUACUCCAUGUAUCUUUUAACUUUUUAAAACCCUAGCAGGAGAUUAAGAUGGUUUGUUUUGGCAGACUGAAGCUGAUGGUGUUAAAAACCCACAUGGUCUAAAGGAAGGUUGGGCAUGGCUGGCAAGGUUCUUAAAUGCUCUCCCUGCCAAUGUAUAUACCGCAGUUGCGCUUGAGGUGUUCCUGCAAGUAAGCCAACAUAGAAACUUAUUAUAGUUUAGCCAUUUGAACUGAUUUUCAAAUACCACAGAAUUAAAAGAUUUCUGCAUUCUCCAGGUGGCGGGCUUUGCUCUCUUUCGAAAGUACAGAUCUCAGUUCAGGAAGAUACUAAAGGUCAUCUCUGGCAACUUUCUGGUUGCACUCAAAGCACAAGGAGAGAAAGUAAAAGAACCGAAGUUGAAGCAAGUCAUUGGAAAUAUUCAGUACUAUGUGGAAAAAAACGAGUUCCUUCAGGAACCAGAAGGAUGGAGGAUGCAGGGUUCUUUAUUAUCGGGUUCUAUGGCGCCUGAGCUAGACUACCCAGAUUCCUAUCAUCAUCCAUCGAAUUACUCAGGUUCCUAUCAUUAUUCAUCAUACUACUGAUGACUAACAGCUAAAAUUAAAUUAUAGCUUUUUUUUUACAAAAAAGGGAAUUUCCAAUGUAUUGGAUUUGUAUGAAGAGCAAGUCACCCAGUGCAAAUGACAUACUACUAAACAAAAAGACAGUAAACCAAGGAAUACGGAAGAAAGGAAAUCAAAUUUGAAUCUCCAGCAAUGAAUAAAUUGUGCUCCAGUAUAAUUGUUGUUCAUUAACUUUCUUUAUUGAACUGGAAUUAAACUGUCUGUUCGUUUAAUGUAAGGAUUGAGCUGAAUACUAGAAUACUACUGUUUAUUUUUUAGCUAUCGUAAGUAUUUAUAACUUUACCACCCCACAUCUAUACAUCAAGGAGGCGUGCUGCAUUUAAUAAUCCAAAACCUUAAUGCGUUAUUGUACAUCAAAUUCAAAACAAUGCAAACAAAUUUGUACUAUACACACACUGCAAACUAUCGUCAUUUCAAAGAGGGGGAAAAACGGCUUCAAUACAAACCAAUAAAAGAAUGAACAAAAAAAAAAUAUAAAAAGCCUCUGUCCACGCGCAAAAUGCAAUCCAAUCCAAACAGUCUUCUCCUAAUGAAGGAUGUAAUUGUAUGGGGGAUCCUCGGUCUUCUGAAGGUCAUGGUUGAUAAAUCUCUGAGGAAUUUCUCCUUCCAUCGAGGCAUGGCGUUUCAUAUAUAUAUAUAUAUAUAUAUACAAAGCUAGUAGUGCUACAGUAACUCUUCAGUAGGAGUUCAUGUCCCAGGCCAAAAUGCACCUUCACCAAGAUGCAAAACAUCCCUGUAAAUCACAGAAAAAGUUAACCUAUAUCUAUUUAAUAAAUUUUAAUUUUUCAAAACAAAAAGUAAUAAUAGUAAUAAUAGCAAAUGAAUAACUGUGGCAUUGCAGACCUUGCCUUUGGCAUUUGGCGAGCAUUUGCCAAGACAAAUAGAGUUCCAAUCUGAGAGCAGGGGGAUCUAAGGACAUGAACACAAUAGCUUAUUGAUACAGCUUUAUUCUAGUCUGGAUCGGGCUUCGGCAAAUGGGGCAUGAAUUGAGGUCUACUCCACACUCACAGCAAGUCUGUCAGUUUAAAGAAAAGGAAAAUUUCUAGGUGGUCAGCAUAGUGUCAUCCUUGGACCUCAGGGCAUGAAGAAAUAGUUAACACAUGGAAAGUGGUUUACCUGAUGACCACAACCAAAAGCCAUAUCCUUUGGAUUACUGAGACAAAUGGGGCAAACCUGUCCAAGUUCAAACCAAAUAAGUAAUUGAUAAAGAGAAAGAUCACUUCUCUUCAAAUAGAUUCAAAUGACAGCUACAUAGAUUUGGUUACUGUCUUACUGAUAACCACAUGAAGUAGAUAAGAGAAAAUGAAGCAUAGCCAUAUUUGGGGAGCAACUCUAUAUACCUUGUUAUCAUAAAGAGAAUUAGAAGAUGGGCCUGUGCUGACUGCUGCCUCAUAUUCAGGAUAAGACUCAGCGCUUUUUUGGAAACUGUUCGAGUGGUAAGGUUUUGAGCUGCUGCUGAAAGAAGGUGUUCCAUACUGGGGUGGGGGGAGAGCAACCCUAGUAGGAGCAUUCCCUCUCCUUACACUGCUUGAUGAAUAAACAGAAAAUAUAGCCAGUUAGAUUUGAAUAAAUAAGAGCCUGCAGAAACAUCAAAAAACAAGAUUCAAUCAUUACCCCAGUGUAUUGAGAUCAAUAGUUGCUUUAUAUUGGGAAGGAAUUUCCAUCAAGGCUGCAAGAGCAAACUCUGUCUGUGUUCUCGAUGAAUCAACAUUCUUUGACAUAAUUUCUGUAAAAUUCACGAACUAACAAGACAAAGCAAAACAGUCCUUCCGAAUUUAGUAUGUUUGAAUAUAGGAACAUGGCACCUAGUAUGUACAUGACAAUGACAAUGACAAUCCCUUACCUGGAAAUUAUCGAAGGCACGAGCAGGGAUGUUGUCAUCGAACUCCCUCAUCACAUCCCAAGGCCCAUCUCCAACCCCAACCAAAAUUAUUGACAAGGGGUACUUACUGCAAUUAAAACAAGCGUAUAAGAAUGUGGAUUGACAAUCAAAAGCAAACGAGUUAUGAAUACCUACCUUGCUUUUACAAUUGCGUCGAUCGUCUUUUGCUCUUGAGAGCUGAGCUGGCCAUGCUGUGUAUCAACGCUUCGUGUCACCUAAGGCAGCAGAAAACCUCAGUCAGUCACAACUCCAUGUUGCAGCCAAGGAUGGACACACAAUUAUUGUUCUCUAGUAUCGAAAGAUGUAUAUUUUUAACUGGCAAGGGGGACAGAGUUGGGGGAUUUGUUAUUAAAGAAGACCAUCAAAUGCUCUUAUGAACAUAGUUUUUAUUUUUGUUCCUGACAUCUAAUUUGAACAGAGUUGAAAUGAACUAUAUAUUUUAUGAUGCUUGCAAAACCUAUAUAGAUAAAAUUUGGUCCAGAACUGAAUUACCUGUCCAUCAGCGAUUAUCAGCAAAACAUGGUAUUGGCCACCACUUUUCUCAACAAUGGUCGAGGCCAUUUCAAUGAUGGGUGCAAAAGAGGUGGGUCCUGCAAUAAGAAAAACAAACCUUUGCUGUAAGAACUAACUGCUAAAUUUCCAAAGCACCAUAUCCAAUGAAUAGCCAAGUAGAUAGAAUCAAUAUAAGCAGAACCUGCAAGUCGAAGGCUGGGAACCAAUUCUCUGUAUCUCAUCAGUACUUCUUCAAAUCCAUUGCAGGGCCUCUCGUCCUGGUAGAAACUGAAGAUGUCUUGAUCGUGUGUUGAGGCUGCAAUGAGACGUGAGAAAAAAUUGAUUUCCAAUUUUCCACAAUUGUGAUGGUAAACUCUACAUAAAUGAGUUAAGAUGAUGCUCUAAAUGAGAUUACCAUCUCCAAAUCCAAAGCAGGGAAUCAAGUUAUCCUCAUCAAAUGCAGAUAAGGUCUUCCCAAUAAUACUUAUUGCUUGCUCAUAUGGAUUUUGACCCCUUCCAAUGUGAUGUAAGCUCUUCCUAUUGAAUGACCUGGAACCUGAUUUCCAACAAAAUUCAGCAAUUUCCAUGAUAAGGCAAUUGAAGAAGUUGUAACUUACAAGAAUGCAGAUGGGAUCGAACCUGUCCACUCAUUACUCUUGGUGAAGUCAAUACCAACAAUGAGGUUAGAAGACUCAAGGCCAGCUUGAGCAAGAGCAGCAGUAACCUGUGGGUGAUCAUCUUCAUUACUUAUAUAGAAUGAUGAAUAGCUAAAGCUUAUUAUGAAGGUAAAAGAUAAGUUGAAUUUCCUACAGUAGGAUGUGUAGGCAUAUCACAAAACAAGGUCAGAGCUUGAAGGAGGCAAGGACAUCAUACAAAGAGAAGCUUAAAAAUUCGUGGAGGAGAAGAAGAAAGUGAGAAUUGCCAAGUUCAAUCAACUUGUUUUGUUUGUACUUCCCAUGGUUAGACACACACUCCACCUUCUUUUUCAAAUAAAAAUAAUUAUGAAAUAUUUCUUCAUGGUAUUUGUCUUUGAAAAGGAAGAAAAUGAGAUGAAAUAGAGAAGAAAACGAGGAAGAAGGGAAUCAUUGAUAAGGGGAAGAAAAGAACAAUAUGGUCAUUGCACUUCUCUUUUUUUUUCUUUUUUCUUUUUUAUAUCAAAAACGGUGGGUAUAGAGAGUACAAGUACAACUUCCCUUGCUCUUCUUACAAAAUUGCGCUUCCUGUGAAAUGACGAAAUCACCGGCUGACAAAUUCUUUCAUCCUUUCUUCUUAGUCCCUUCUCAUCAUUUUUAGUUUGAAAACCCUUAACACAUUAUAUAUAUAUAUAUAUAAAGGAAAAACGAGAAAAGGUAAAGAGGGGACAGAAGGUUGUGAUUGGCGCUCUCAUGCUGCUACGCUAUGGGAGGUGGAACGGCCGCUCCCGACAGGAUGGCAACAGGAUGGGUUCUAUCCCAUUAAAAAAAAUUAAAUGGGUCGAGUCCAAUUCGUUUAAUUUUUUUCAAAAAAAAAAAAAAAAAUCUUUUUUUAAAUUUUCAAUUACAUUAAAAUAAAUAUAUUUUAUAAAUAAUUAAAAUAUUAUAAUUUUUUAUAACUUAUUUUAUUAAAAAAAUUAUUAUAAUUAUUAUAAUACUAAAAAAUAAAAAUAAAAAUAAAAAUUAAAUUAAUUUUAUAUAUAAUUUAAAUGGAAUGGAAUAAGGUAAUAUUUAAAUAAAUUUUGACUCAUUUUAGAUUUUUAAAAAAAUCUUAAAUUCAUUAUAAUCAGUUUAUUUAAAUUUCAAAUCUGUCCCAUUAAAGGUAUGACGGGAUGAGUAUAUGAAAAAACUCACUACACUGUCAUUCAUAUUCCUUCGUUAUCCAUCAAUUUUUUAAAAAAAAUACAUAAUAGUUUUAUUUUUAUUUUUUUAUCAUUAGUAAAGAGAAAUUGUUUCAAAAUCAAUAUUCCAACAUACCUCGAUUCUCUCAAAUUGUUUUUCAUUAGUAAAAAAAAGGGUAAGGAAUUGCAUAAUAGUUUGAGAAUAAGAAAGUUAAAACAAAUGAAACUAUGUACUUAUGUAAAGUUUAAGAUUAAGAAAAAAAGAUGGAUAGAUUAAAAAAGGGUGUUAUCAAAAUUUAUUGAAAUGAUGGUUUAUGUUAAGAAAGAAAAUAAAUCAGGACACUUGUCCUUCAAGAUUUUUAUAGCGUAAAGGAUGCGAAACCAAAUACGUGUUUAAGAUGAAAAAUCCAAAAUUUGAUAUAUAAUUAAUAUCAAAUAGUAAAAUAUUUAACUCAAUUAUCAAAUCAUAUUUAAAAUAUCCUUUAUGGAUUCCCACACGAAAAUGAAAUCAAAUCGACUUUUAAAAAAACAUAUCUAAACAUAAAAAACACAUUUCAUAAGCUAUUUGAAAUUUGUUUUUAAAUAUUUUUCUAAUUUUUAUAUUAAAAUUAUUUUAAAUCAUAAGCUAUUUCAAUAAAAUCAACCGAUAAAAGAAUUAAAGGAAAAAGAAAAAAAAGGUAUACGUAAAUAGUUUGCUUCCAUUUUUAUGUCAACAUAUUAAUAAUAGGGUAAUUUGAUUAAAAGGGUCUCUCAAAAUUUAAUUUUUGAAAUUUAAUCGAUUUUUUUUUUGACAUCAUUUAAACAAAAAUGUUCUUAUUAUUUUCUUGUGAAAUUAAUUAUUUUUUUAAAACUUAUGUAUAAAUAUUUAAAAUAAAAAAUAUCAUUUAAGUAAAAAUGGGUUACUUUUUUUUAUAAAAAAAUGAAAAUGAUUAUUACCAGUUUGGUUGUUAUUUUUGAAAACUGUUUUAAAAAACAGUUUUUGUUAAAAUAGUUUUCAAAAAAAGUUUUUUGAAAAAUGAAAAACAAUCAAUUCGGUGAAAAACAAUGAAAAUAUUUUUUUAUUGUUAUAAAAAAAAAGUGGUUUUUGAGAACAGAAAAAACACAAAAAAACAAAAAUAAAAUCCCUUUUCCUAACAAGAUUUCUGUGUUUUCUGUUUUCAAGAACAAAAAAUAGUUCUUAAAAACAGGAAGUAACAUUGCCUUAGAUUUCUAACAAGCGGAUUAUUUCACCCCAAUUAACCAAAUAUUUCUUAAUAAUAAUAAGAGAAGGCGUAUAGGUCUAACCUGAUCCAAGCUAUUAUAAUUAUCAGCUAUCCUGGAGUAACGCCGGUCCAAUUGGGGGUGCCGGUGAGGAGUUUGAGCACCGCUGUAGUAGCGAGGUGGAGGAGGGCUGUGGUGCUGCGGCGUGUGGUAUGGCUGGGCUGGAUAGGCCUCCUCAUAAGGCUGUGACUGUGAGUAACCAUGGUGGUUGAAUGAAGACGAUUCAAACGAUGGAUAUUCUCUCCCACUCCGCCGUUUCGAACUUUUCCCUCCCAUCACCUAUGCAAUCUCUGCACAACUCCUUCCCAAUUCCACACACCUCAAUAUUAACUCACUCUAUCAAUCAAAACCACUUGGAUGAUCUCCCCUGCACUCCAAAUCAAAUCGAAUUUCAAUACACCGAUUACAGGAAUUCAAAAGAAAAAUGUAUGUGGAGUAAAUUUGAUUGUCAUAAAAUACCAAAAUUCGAAAAGUUUCUCGGAUUUCUGUAGAAUAUAUGACUCGGGAAAUUGGGGAAGAUGAAGAAUUACACAGAUGUAUAUAAACGGAGUGAGGGAGAUAUCAGCAUGGAAUGGUUGACAGCUGAAUUAGGAUUCAAGCGGAAAAUUUCCAGGAAGAAAACUGAAUAUGAAAACAAAGACUAAUAAUAAAAGAGGCGGCGUAGUUGUCUAGCUGACCCAUUCAAUGACUGCCGACCUUCUGAGAAACGUUGACCAGUGGAUUGUUCAUAGAAAGAAAGCUAUUGAAGAAGAUGUUACAGAAUUAUUAGGGCUGGCCAAGUGGCUUCCCAGCACGCAAUGCCUUUGUUUGUUUUGCUAAAGAUUAGUAAAAACGUGAAUCAUAUAGGUAACCUAAUGCGCAAGAAAAGCUGAAUAGGGCUGGUCAACCACAACUCUUCCGAUUUUCAGCAUCUGUAUUCAUAUAAUAAUGAUGAUGAUGAUGAUAAUACAGAGAUUAAUAAUAAUCAAAUAGUAGCAAAGCCAAAUGAAAUCACGGAACGGCGAGCCUGGAUACUAAAGCAAAAGCCAUUGUUUUGUUGCUGACAUCGCAUCAACUGUAUCCGCUCCGUUUGGUUACCGGGAAACGGAAGGAAAAUGUUAAAAGAAAGCAAGCGAAAAUCUGGCGGGCACGACCUCAAAAUCAGUGCUUUUGGGAAGCUUCCUUGAGUGGAGCUGAACCCUCCUUGCCAGGGUUUCACUGCUUUUUAAAAAUGUUUCAUAAUUGAGCUUUUGAUCUAAUAAUAUCUUUUUCUUUUUCGAACGGAUCGAGUUGGAGUCGAGUCAUUUGAAAUGAAAAAAGAGGGAUGCCCGGAGAAUGCCCCGUCACGGCACCGGCCCACCACCGAAUCUUCUGGGAACAGUACUUGUGAUGGCUCUGUCUGUUUCUCCUCGUAUGUUCACAUCACGUGGGGUAGGUAGAGUAGAGUCGUGGAAUCGGUACAUUAUAUUGGAUGAUACUUUUCCAUCAGCAAUCAAUAUUAUAAGACUUUAGACCUACCACAUCACUUUCCAUAUAAACGAAUGAUAUAUAAGUUUUUGUUGUUUACAAGAUUUUUUAUAAGAGUAUGAUAGUUUUAAAAAAUAAUUUCAAAAUUAUCGUAAGAAAAAUAAUUUCAAAUCUUGUCCAAGGAGAGUGGAAAUAAAUUAAAAUUGAAAAAUCGUCAUGAUUUUAAAAAUAAAAAAUAAAAAAAUAAUACCAAGUGAGAAAUUGUCUCGAGACGAUUUUCAAAAAAUAAAAAAUAAAAAAUUUAAAAGACAAUUUCAAAAAAAAUAUAAAAAAAAUAAAAUCAAGUAACUCAUAUCAAGACAAUUUAAAAAAAAAACAAAAAAAAAAAGAAAUAGUAAAUCGCCUUCAAGAGAUGAUUUAAAAAAAUAAAAAUAAAACUAAGUGAUAAAUCAUCUCUUCAAGGAUGAUUUUCAUAAGAAAAAAAUAUAUAUAUGAGACUCACUUAAAAAAAAACUACCACAGUAAUUUAAGAAUUAUUUUUUAAAAGUAUUGUACUCUUAUAAAAAAUCCACUAUUUUUUAAUAUCUUUAUUUUUUGUUAUUUUGUUCAAUGACUCAAGUUUCAAUAUAUAUUUUCCAUGACCUAAAUUUCCAUGUGUCACAUGUACCAAUUUUAAUAUGUUAGUAUUUUGUUUUCUAAAAUAUUUGUUAAGAAAACUUAACUAAAUGAAUUUUCUUAAUACACCAAAAUGGAUCAUGUCAACGCUGUACGUGAUAGAAUUAGAUUUUAUUUUAUUAUUACUUUUUUGUUUUUCAAAAUAAAAAAAUAAGAAACAUGUUUGAUAAUUAAAAAAUAUAAAAAUAAUUUUUUAUUCUUAAAACCAAAAAAUUGAAAGUGUUUUCCAAGAAUAAUAGUUGUUUUAAGUUGUUUUCUAAAAUCCGUUCCAAGAAAUAAUUAUAUAUAUGGAAAAUAGAAAAAAAUAUUUUUAAAAACAUAUUUAUUAGAAAAUAAGUUGAGAAUAUUUUAAUUCAUAAAUCAACUUUUAUUUUAUAAAACAUCAUAAAAUAAUUUUUAGUAACUCUUCUUAAAAAUAUUGUUUUUAAAAUCAUUUUAAAAAACGUUUCCAAAUUACACAUUGGCUUCACAUUAGUAUUUCUGCAAUUUUUUUUUAAAUUCUUUAAUGUAAUGUGAAUUUCAAAAAUAAUAUUUGAAUACUCCAUAAAAUUGAAUUAUUGAAUUGUUGUGAACAUAUUUUUUAAUUAAAAAAAAUAAUGUUAAAAAUUUAAUUAAUUUUUAAAAUUUUCAUAUGAGAACUAAUUUUUUAUUUUAAAAAAAAUUAUUGUAUGAUUUAAAAAUCAUUUUUUGAAUAUUUUUAUUCUUUGCAAUAAGUGUUUUAAUUUUUCUAUUUUAACUUAAUUUAAAUAAAUAUAUUUAUGUUAAUAAAUUUAUUUUUACAUCUUAAGACGAGUGAUAUGAAAUUGUGAAAUCUUAGCGAAGGAAAGCCACGUGUCUCUCAAAAUAAAACAGAAAGAGAGCCAUGCCUGCAUGCAGAAGUGGGAACGAUACAAAGGGGCUGGUGGGGCCAUUUUGCAAAUCACUGGGUCUACUCAGCCUGCCGUACUGCACCGACGCAUCCUCUGGCCUUGUGAACUUGUAAAGGGUUUCUGCAACAUUUCCUUCCUUAGAGAUCACAAACUUGCUCUUGCUUCGUUGGGUCAGGAACGGACUGAACAUUGAAUACAAGAUGCUGAAGUACCAGGGGACGUUGAUGAAAAUCUUCCGGGCAACCAUUUCUGGAUAAUUAUCUUGGAAGAGAGGAGGAUCUGGUUGGAAGAGACCCUGAGCUCUCUUUUGGGCAUGUCUUUGAGAUCAGUCACCUGAAUGAUGGAGUUAACACCACCGGGCUUGAAAUGCAGAAGUUUGAUGCCUCUCUCGAGGACUAGUACUUGAACUCUCCACCUCAGGAACUUCUUGAGCUUCUCUUCGUCCCCGAAGAUUCCCUCGUACAUAUCCUUGUCUUUGAAAACCCCAUAGGCGUUGUAGCAAACUGGGUGUUCUUCUCUGUCGUACCCGUGCAUGUAAGCCACGACACCUUCGAGCUCCUUAAACCCCAGGUCCUCCUCAGCGACGUCAUCCGCUCUGAACUCUUUUCUCCAAGCCAAGCACUUCUCCAGCAUGUGAAAGGAGUCGGCGACCCUGAAGUCUCUGGCUCGCGGAAACUUCAAUAGUAUGACAUCGGCUCUCUCGUCUCCACCCAAGAGAGGAAUGCCUCACAUGGAGUCGGACCCAUGAGAGGCCACGAGCUUGUCUUUGAACUCCUGCAGUGCCUUCUCUGAAGACUUGAGGCGGGACACGAAGUAGGUGUCCUCCUUGAAGGAAGGAGAGCGAAGGGUAGCGGCCUCCAUCAACGAGGUCACAAAGCUUUUCCUGAAAGGCCUGGAGGACGCUUCCGGCUGGUCUUGUUGAGGAGUUUGUUGCAUUGAGAUGGGUGAGGAAGCUUCCAUGAAUGGAUUCUGAGCAAGACCCAGAUGGAAUCUUAUGGGGAUCAAUUACAUGCUGGAAAAGGUUUCAAACUCAGCAACGACAUAAGAACACUCCACUGAUAUCACGGAUCAAAACUCUUCAAACGAGCUCUUCUCUAGCUGUUCCCAGACACUCUCUACAGCUAGCUCACCCCAAAAAGUCUCCCCCCUCCCCCUGCUCCUCUCUGGCUAAAAUCCUGUGCUGAAAGCCAUCCCCCCCCCCCCCCUUUUAUAGAGCUCCUCUAGCCCGAAGACAUUGCCUAGCUCAUCAUCCUCUCUGAAGCUCCCUGUUCCAGCGAUCCUCCACCAGCUCCAUUGCUUCAACCACCACCAUGGCAAGGUGGUCACAUCCUUGCCACAUGUCUCAUGCAUGCAGCUCACCUGUGGAAGCCGUCCCCUACUUCAACAACAUGCUAUCCAGCUCCUCCCGGUAAGAAAAUAUCCAUGAAAUGCUACUAAUAAAAGCAAUAAAAAUAAAUAAAUAAAUAAACCAAUAGUCCUUCGUCUGCAAAAGGGGUCUACAAUUAAGCUUUUUCAUCUUCCUCUAGCCCUAUCCCAGGUACAACGUUUGAGAACCAUUUCUUAUGAAUUCAUAUUGUUACAUCUAUAUUUUUUAAUAACUCAUUUAUCAUAAUAUUAAAUGGUGAAUAAUUAAUUUCAAAUAUAUAUAUAAAAAAUUCUUUUACAUAAUAAAAUAUUUAAUAUAUAUAAAAUUUAAUAUUUAUCCUAAGUUUAAAGUUGAUAUUUUAUUAAUUAUUUAAGAAUAUAUUAAAUAACUUAAAAUAUUAACAAACAAAAUACUUUAAGAAGUGUUGGCACCUAUAAGAGCUGCGGUAGUAGCAUGGUGCAUUAAGGUAAGUUGGUCUUGUUUUGCACUCAAGUAACCGAUAUUUUGCUUUUGUAGUGUAUUCAAAGAGAAGCAAUUUGUAAGACCUUUUAUUCAAUGAUUUUAGCAAGUUCAACAAUAGUCGAAGUCACUUCAUCCGAUUGUAUUUCUAGUAAGUCGUUUAUCGCCAUGAUCACAUAACCUUAAAGUAAAGGAAAGUAUAAGAGCUUGAACACCUUGAGAAAGCUUCAAUUCACAUUAAUGGUUCUGGUUGAUGAACCAAAUUUUGAGCCUAUGCUUGAGUUAGCAUUCAUUAUUCCUUCAAUUAUCAUAUAGAAAAUGUAAUGGCAUUUUCGAGUGUGAAGGAAAAACUUGUCUCCUUGCCUCGACAGAAGAUAGACUAAUGAUUGAUUGAUGUUUCUUAUACCCUUUCAUAAAUAUUGUGAAGAAAAAGAAAAUAAUUAAUAAUUUUAAUAAAAAUAUGAUUAAAAUCAUAAUAGUAGUUUUUAUAAUUUUCCUUAAUUUUAUAUAUUAUUUUUAAUUUUUAGGUUUUUAUAUAUUGUAAUUCUUUUUAUUAUUAGAGUGAAUAUUCAAUUAUUACUAAUGAAUUGUACUUCUAAUUUAUUAAAUAUUAUUUUUUUUACUAUUAAAGUUGUCUCUUGAAGUAAAAUACCACCAUUUUUAUUAUUUAAAUAGAUAACCUGAGUUUAGCCCAAAUCAUCUCCAUCCUAUUUUGAUUAUUUAAAUCAAAUAUAAUUUUUAUAUUUAUAAAAAUAAAUAAAUAUUUUUAUAUGUAUUAAAAAGAAAAAUUAAAUUAAAUUAUUUUUAUUUAAUUUUCUAUAUAGGUUUAUAUGUACAUGAAACAUAAUGACAGUAGUAUGUCUUUAUAUAAAAAGGAUUUUAAAAACGUUUCUAGUAUUUUUAAUACUUAAAUGAUUUAAAUUUUAAAGUAUUAAAAUGUUUGGAAACACUUCUUAAAAUUACUAUUAAACAGGCUUAAAGUCAUGAUUAUCCGUGGGUCUGUGUAUUUAAGAAGUGAAGAAGCAACGAUGUUUGAUUGAGCCUUAAAUGGACAUGCCCACAAUUUUAGUAUGUUAUUACAUAACUUAUUGAUAAAGUUAUUCAUAAAGUUAUAAAACUCCAUUCUCCUUACAAAUUAAUGAUAUAAUAUAGAAAUUUAAAGUACCAAACAAACCCUAUCCAUCAAUUUCAAAAAAAUAUUUUAUUAUUUUUAAUUUAAGUCAAAAAAUUACAAAUAAGAUAUGAUGUCUCAUGUCAAAUAAAAAAUAAAAUUCUUAAUUAUGAACUUUUUUUUAAUCAUAUGGACACGUUUUAAAACAUCCUUUUAGGUUCGCAAUAGACUAUAUACGAUUCAUACGGUACGAAAUAUUGUUGCCAUAAAAAAUUCUCUUAUUCAAAUUGUCCAACUAUCACUCAAAGUGGAUACUUAUUCAUAAUCUGCCUCGUAAUUGUUGAUGUAAUUUCCAAAAAUUAUCAUUAGAAGUGGGUCUACCAAAUCGACGGUGAGGAUGGCUUCAGGAAAACGGUGGAUGCACGGUCCGUCUGCGUGUCCCGUACUCCACACUCUAAACAUCCCAAUCAAUCAAUCCUCAGCCGGGCUGUCCACUUCUCUUCACAGCCCCGGCAACCUCAUCACCGCCGUCCAUUUAGAUUACCAACCAACAAUCCACCACGUCGCAGACGAUCGUAACAUCAAUUUUUGUGAUUUAUUUUUUAUAUUUUUAAAAACUCAAGAACGACGGGAGAAACAGAGAGACUGGUUGGUAGCUAUCGCUCCUCUCCUCUGUUGUCUUUCUCAAGGUACGAUCUUGUUCGCCGUUUUCUCUCGCAAGAAGCAGCAAUUAUUUUUAUCAAAUUUCAUGUUUUAGGCCGUUUCAAUUAUCACUAAAUCAUACUUCUAGCUUCGACUUCCCAAUCAUCUUUCUAUUUUCUUUACUCGAUUGCAAGUAAUCACUAUUUUUGAAUUCUAGGGUUUUGUUUUUUUUUUUAUAUUUUCUAUAAUAAGAGAAGAGGAUAGAGAUCAAAAUUAAUUAUCAGAACGAUUAGGUUUGGUUUUUCUUGUUUUCAAUUGUGAAAUUACCAAUGGUGGACCGCGAAAUGGAGGUGUGCUUAAUCUCUUGGUAGUAGUGAUUGGUGGUGAGAAAUGACGAGCGCCGGUGAGGAAGACGCCGAUGCCGUGUUGAGCGAUGUGGAAGGUGACGAUCCGGUGCCUGUGCCGAUCGUCAUCAAGAAUCCGUCUCAGGAGGAUGUAUCCGUGGAGAGAUUUCGAGAGCUUCUUGCCGAGGUGGAUCGAGAGCGGCAAGCUCGGGAGGCAGCGGAGAAUUCGAAAUCGGAAUUGCUAGUGGCCUUUAAUCGGUUAAAGAGUCUUGCUCAUGAGGCAAUUAAGAAGCGAGAUGAGAGCACGAGGCAACGGGAUGAGGCAUUGCGUGAAAAGGAAGAAGUUUUGAGAUCAAAUGAUAAAGUUUCGGGGGAAUUGGCGGAAGCAAUCAAAUUGAAAGAUGAGGUUCUGAAGCAGAGGGAUGAGAUUGCUAAGCAAUUGGAUGAGGCGGUGAAGGCAAGGGAAGCCUCGCGAUCUGAGAUUGAAACUUCAGCACAAAUGCUUGUGACUGGAAUUGAGAAGAUUUCAGGAAAGGUGAGUAAUUUCAAGAAUUUCACAGCAGGGGGAUUGCCAAGGUCUCAGAAGUACACUGGAUUGCCUGCCAUUGCUUAUGGAGUUAUUAAGAGGACAAAUGAAAUAGUUGAAGAACUUGUUAGACAGAUGGAUGCAACAACUAAGUCCAGGAAUGAUGCUCGUGAACAGAUGGAGCAUAGAAAUUAUGAGAUUGCUAUUGAAGUGUCUCAGCUUGAAGCAACCAUUAGUGGGCUGAGAGAAGAAGUUUCGAAGAAAACUUCUGUUGUUGAGAAUGUGGAGAAAUCUAUGGCUGAGAAGGAUGCAAAGAUAUCAGAUAUGGAAAGAGAGAUGUCAGAGAAGAUUCAACUGGCAGAAAAUGAAAUGUCUGAACUUAAACAAAUAGUCAGUGAGUAUGAUCUUAAGUUGGGGAAUUUGGAAUCAAUAAUGGAGUCACAGAGGCAUCUAUUGUUUGACCAGUUAAAUUUGGUAUCCAAAAUUCAUGACCGAAUUUAUGAUGUCAUCAGGAUUGUUGAUGACAAUAAAUUGGAUCAGUCAGAGGUCUCUGAGUCUUUGUUUCUUCCACAAGCAACGGACAUGGAGGAGAACAUCCGUGCUUCUUUAGCAGGCAUGGAAUCUAUUUAUGAGUUAACCAGAAUUGUUGGAGAAAAAAUAAGGAAUUUAAUGGAGGAUCAGAGUCGUGAAGCAAAGAGUUUAAAUGAAACGGUGACCCGAUUAGUUAAGGAGAAAGAACAAAUCGGAUCUUUCCUGAGAAGUGCUUUGUCAAGAAGGAUGGCAUUAGAUCCAUCAUCCAAAAUGAAAGAGUUGUUUCAAGUUGCAGAAAAUGGUUUAAGAGAGGCUGGGAUAGAAUUCAAAUUUAGCAAUCUUCUUGAGGAUGGGAAGGUUAUGGCGUCUCAUGAUAAAGCUGGUGUUUUGGAAACAGAGGAGGAUGAACUAUACAAUAUGGUAAGCACUUAUCCUGGAUACGUGUUUCAAAAUCCCCUUUUUACUGUGCUUAUCUAUACUUUUUUGUACAGACUGGUGCUUUGGAGCAUAUUGUUAAGGCAUCUCAGCUUGAGAUCAUUGAACUGCAGCAUUCAGUAGAUGAAUUAAGGUACUUAAUUAUCUUUCUAGAGCUCACUUAACUGCAAACAAACAGAUAUGCUUAUUUUAUUCCCUUAUGUUGAACUAUCAAUUUUUCUAAAAGAUUAAGCUUGUAGGAUUUGGGUCCAUAAUGUAUGUCAUGUACUCUAACACCCAUCCUCACACAUGUAGCCUCCAUUUAUGUGGGCUUAAUAAAUUGGUUAAAUAAACAUACGGUGGUGAGGUCUGAACACUUGACCUACAAAACAAGGUUUUGAUACCAUGUUGAACUAUCAAUUUUCCUAAAAGCUUAAGCUUGUAGGAUUUGAAUCCACAAUGUAAACCAUGCACUCUAACACCUUAAACUCUCUUUGAAUUAUGAUUCAGACAGCUCAUUUCAUUUCUAUUGUUUCUUCUGCUGCAUUCCAUCUGUUUGUCCUCCAUUCCCUUUUGCUUGUUUUCUGUUGUGAUUUUUUCUGUGAAAGAGAGAAGAGAAAGAGGAGGUGGCUGCAACUGGAUUUAGUAAGAAUCUGUUGGCAGUUCCAUGGUGUACCCUGCCAAUGUUAUUGGACAUGGAUUGAUCAGGCAUUCUUAUGUUACAUGUACUGCUUUGCUGGAUUAAGGGCAGAGUCAAGUUUACUUAAAGAGCAUAUGGAGGCUCAAGCUAAGGAGCUCAACCAUAGGCAGCGUCGCAUAGAGGAACUUGAAGAGAAGGAAAGAGUGGCAAAUGAAAGUGUAAGUUUUAUUUUUAUUUUUAUCUUUUCAAAAUUUUCCAAUUGACAGGUCUGUUAGCUAAGAAUUUUUAAGUCAUUCCAGUCACUGUUGUUGGAUUGUUAAAUAAAUCUCUGAAGAGAUAAAAAGUGUUCUAUAGCCCUCACUAUUCAUGAACUAGUCCAGUUAGAUGUGUAAUUAUGUAUGCAUUAUUGUUAAGAUUGAAAACUGACUAGAUUUAUUUAUGUUACAGGUUGAAGGGCUUAUGAUGGAUAUUGCUGCUGCUGAAGAAGAAAUUACAAGAUGGAAAGUGGCAGCAGAACAAGAAGCUGCAGCAGGCAGAGCUGUCGAACAAGAAUUUGUGUCUCAGGUAUGCUCACAAAGUUGGACAGAAAACAUUCUGGACCUUUUUUUUUGCAUGGAAUUUGAUUGGUAAUUUUGAAGUGUGAAAAAAAUACAUGAUGUAAAUGUAGUUUUAAGUUUGGCAUUUAGGAAAUUUUUUAUAAAAUGACUUCUAAUGGUUGCUAUUAAUAUAUAAUAUGUUUUUGGAGGCAUAUAUCUGCUGCAUAUACUGUUCAUGCAAUUUUGCAUUUACUAAUCACAGGCACCAUGUUAAUCAGGACUGACAUGAACUGUGGAGUCAUUCUGUUCAAGGCAUAGUUCUAAUUUUUAACUGCAGGAAUUGACUAAAAACUAAUUUGCACGUGAGAAGUCCUUGUUUUCUAUGGUUAGUUUGCCUAUGAUAAAUGCCCUUUUCCCUGGGCGUUCAUUAUAAGAAAAAUAGGCAAUGUGAAAACAGUGCCAAGGAUUGAAAUACAUCUCUUGCAAGGUUUGACUCCCAAUUGAGUAUAUGAAAUCACCAAGGAAAAGGUAAACUAAACUUCAUUGGGCAUGGGAUGCUGUUAUUUGAUUUGGUUCUGAACAUAUAAUUAGGAUGGAUUCAUUAUGUUAGAAAGUAGAGUUUAGGUACAUCCAUGCACUGUUCUAGAUUGCUGUUUUUAAGUUACUUACCUUCAUGCUUAAAUACAUACAUGCAUGGAUAUAUACAUCUAAUGUUCUAGGUUUCCAUUUUAGGGUAAGUUGAUUUAGCCUCCAUUUGGUUGUUAAUAGAAUGAAAAAAUAAAUAAAAUUGAUUCUUAUUUUUUAUUUUUACUUUCAUUUAAACAAUGUGACACAGUUGUCUUAGAGUCAGGUGGCAUUAUGGCAUUAUGGCACUGAUUACUGUGCUUAUUAUGGUACCCAUGACAGCUUGAUAUUUUACCUCAACUACUAAUCCAAUGUACUUGUUUAUAUUCCGUUGUAUUGAUGAUUACCAUUCCUACUACUCUCUCCCUUAAUUACUGUGCAUCUACCUUGGUUUUGAUUGUGUUAAAAUUCUUUUUAACCAUAAUAGUCUGCGGAUGCAAUUACCUGUAGUUAUCAGCGAUUCGUCAGGAACUCAAAGAGGCAAAGCAAGCUGUGAUGGAGUCGGAGAAAAAGCUCAAAUUCAAAGAAGAGACAGCAGCUGCUGCCAUGGAAGCUAGAGAUGCUGCUGAGAAAUCAUUGAGAUUGGCAGACUUGCGGGCAUCUAGGUUAAGGGAUAGGGUGGAGGAGCUGACUCAUCAGCUUGAGGAGUCUGAUACCAGGGAAGACUCAAGGAGGAGUCGAAAUGGGCCAAGAUAUGUAUGCUGGCCUUGGGAAUGGCUCGGGCUGAACUUUGUAGGUUUACACCAGCCUGACACAAACCAACAGAAUUCAAAUGAAAUGGAGCUUUCCGAACCUCUUCUCUGAGUAUACUCUCUCUCUCUCUCUCUCUCUUUUCUUCCUUGUGUAUUUAUGCUGUUUGACAUCAGAACAGUCAAGAAAUGGUAGUUCAUAGCAUCUUCAUUCUUCCAGGCUCCCUUAAUAGAAAAACUUUAGUGAUCUUGUUUGGCCACCAGGCAAAGUAAAUCUUUACUUUAUGGGGCUUAUUGCUUCCGUCCCAACCCGCUUUAUAUUCUCUUGCUAUUGAGUAAGAAAGGAUUCACUACCUGCUUAAGUUCCGCUUUUCAGUUCUCUUAUUUCCAUGCAUACAUAGAUUCUUAGGUAAGGAGAACUCAUGGACCGGUAUGGUCUGUCUUCAUAAUCAUUCCUUCCCCCAGGCACACUGACUGAGGCAUGUAAAUUUUUCUGGCCAUGGGUUUUGAUAAUCAUCGCAUAAGGGCAUUUCUUGCAAAUUAAUAAAUGAUCAGCCUGCAACAUUGUUACAAUGCUUGUAAUUUUUGUAAAACUAUUUUUUUUUAAAUAUUUUAUAUUUUUAUUUAAAUACGUUUUUUUAAAUGAUGUACCUAUGAGCUGAGUCCUGUCCAUUUUAUCUGAAAGACUUGUCAGGCAAUGUCAUCCGAAAUGGCGCUGAGUUAGAGUAGAAGGUGAGACUCCUGAGACAAUGAGACUGGGACUUGGCUUGCAUUGUGUGUGAGUUUAGAUACCCCACUUCCUAUCAACACAAGGACAACAUUGGACAAGAAGCAUUUGCUGAUCUGAGAAUAACCGGCUGAAACUAGACAGGAUUCUCAACAAUUACUUAUAUGGGCUGAAAUUGCAUGUUUUGCCUAAAAAUUAAGUCCAUUGAUCCAUCAAUUAAGCAUACGAUCUUUUGAGUGGUGUGACAUUCCUAGAUGGCCAAGGACCCAACCGUGGAUCAACAAGUUCCUUGAGUGAUCAGGUGACCCGGCUGCUGAAGAUGCAACUUUUGUUUUGCGCCCUUUUUUCUCUGCAGAAAGUAAGGCGCCUUUUUAAUAUAUAUAUAUAUAUUUUUUUUAACUCAUUUUAUCAUACUAUAGGCUUAAGAACUAAUUCUUUAUGAGAUGACGCUCAAUUUAAUAUUAUUUGUAUUUAAACCUUUAUAUGGGCACAAGGUUUAAGAACUACUUUUCUACAGUUUCCAAGACCUACUUUCUUCUCUGCUAAGUUCUCCAUCUCCUAAGGCAGAUAUUAAGAAAUUAGCUAGUACUAGCCCUUUCAUAUCUGUUUCCAUGUAUAUCAUAUAUUGAAGCAUAUUCUCUCAACCUGCCCCACAAUGACGGUGGCUUAAGAUGUUCUCACUCAAUCUUUGGGGUAUCAGUAAAACCUCUCCAAGGAAAAUUCUUCUGGGUGUUCUCCCAUAUGUUGGGAUCUUUCCCGAUUGCUAAAACAUCGAGUUGAAGGAACUGUGUUUUAGGAUAAACUGAGCUACUCAUUUAUAUUGAAAUGUUGCAUGGUUUCAGUUGGAAGUAUUGUGUGACUGAAGGAUAUAGCCUCAGCAUCUCUUUCAUAGUCAUCAUCUUGAGGUAGUUAAGUUGAUCAAGGUCACAUCCCAGUUCCCAAAACCUUACCUUGCUUUCCUGCACAACUUCUAACUUCAGCUUGUGUUUUCUUCAUUGUUCUUGGGUUCCUAGCAAGCUCUGCCAUUUCUCAGACCAUGGUGGGGCACUCCUGUUUUGCCCCCGCCAAAAAUCCUGAUACAUUUCUGAAAGUGGGCUGAGAAAAAUGACCUUAGUUUCACAAUUACAUGCCAAAAACAGAAACGCCCAUUUUCUUCUAAACAGCCAGAGAGGAGGUUAUUGAAAUGUUUGGUUGAUACCUCAGAGGCAUUCAGCCCUCAGUCUGGCACGUGGCUCUAGGUCUGUGGCAUUUCUUUACUACAUGGGUUACGGACGUCAUAAUGGUGAACAAGGUGGAUAACCCAGUAUCCCUACAUGGCUACAACUUGUGACAUGGACUUCGAGAGCGCGAAAGAGCUUUGACCCAAAAGACUACGUUUUUUUUUUUUUUUAAAUCCAUAAAGUACCCAUAUUUUUAAAAUAAUAUCCAAUCUAAUAUGUCCGCGCCACAUAGAUUGUCACAUCAUAAAACCGUAGUCGAUAAUUACGAUUUUAUUUUUAAAAACAGUUAAAGUCGUAAUCACCAACUACAACUUUAACUUUAAUUUUAUAUAUAUAUAUAUUUAAUUUUAAUAUUUUUUAAAAUAAAAUAUUAUAUUAUUUUGAUUUUAUAUUGAUUAAAAAUAUGUAAGUGGUGUAAUAAAAAUAUUUACCUUUAAUUGAUCUCAUUAUUUAAAGAAUAGUAAUAUAUGAAAUUAAAUAAUUGAUGUCUUUAAUUUGAUAUAAAAAUAUAUUUUGAUAAUUUUAUUAAAAUAUUUGGCACUACACUCAAUAUAAAUAUAAUUAGUUAUAAAUAUACUAUUUUAUACCCUCAUAAUGAAGAAUAUUAUAUUAUUUUGUAACUUUGUGCAAAAAUUAAAGGCAAUUAUGCACUUGUAUAAAAUAUAAUAUGACUUCAAGUGGGUAAAUAAUUGAAAAUUUACUUAAAUACAACAAAAAUAAUUUUUUUUCCAUUUUUCUCCUUUUAAAAUGGGAUCAAAAUGGAAUGGAAAGACUUAAAAUGUUAAACUUAAAAUGCCAACCUAAAAGAAUUUGUUUUUCUAUUUCUUAAAAUAUAGAAUUGUAGAAAGAAAAUAGAUUUGUUUUUCCAAUCGAUUCACUAUUUAGUUUAAUUGUUUUGGUAAAUAGAUAAAAAUGCUUUUGGAAUAUUUUUGUAAAUUCAUUGAUAAUAAGAAAAAUGUUUCUUAUUGGGUACUAAUGGGAGUUUUGGGUAAAAAUGAUUUCUUUAAAACAGAAAAUUCAUAAAAUAAUUUUAUUCUCAAAAUAAUUUUCAAUGUAAUGUGUCUUAUUCAUAUAGAUAUUCACAUCACAACACUGUAAUUAGUAAUCAUGAUUUUUGAUUUUUUUUAAAAAAUAGUCAAAAUAGUAGUUGGUGAUCAUAACUUUAAAUUUAAACCUAAAUCCAAAUUUUUAAGUUCAAAUUUUAAAUCAUGUUAAUGUUCAAUUUUUUAAAAAUUAUUUUGAUUGGAGGUUUAGAUUGUAAAUUUUUUUUAAUACAUUAUUUUUUCUAUAUCAAAAUAGUGUUGUUGUAACUAAUUAGUUUUAAACUUGAAGUUAAAGUCAUAAUUGAUGACUACGGCUUUGACUGCUUUUAAAAAUAGUCAAAGUCGUAGUCAUUAACUACGGUUUUAAACUUAAAGUUAAAACCGUGGUUGGUGACUACAGUUUUGAUUGUUUUUAAAAAGUAAAAUCGUAGUUACCAACUAUGGUUUUAUGACAUGACAAUUUACGUGGUAUAAACACAUUAGAUUGUGUAUUAUUUUGGAAAUGGGGGUACUUUAUGAAUUGUUUUUUUAAAACAUAGUAUUUUAGGUCAAAGCUCGUGAAACCAUCUCUAAAUUCUGCAUCCCUGUACUGGAAAUCCACCAAAGGUCAAUCAUGGGCGUGAAACCUAGAAUUUGUUUUGAAAAAAUAUAAACAAGUGUUGUUGAUCCAGGCAAAGCACCGAGUUGUCAACUAAGGUCAAUGAUGUCACACUCUGGCAAAGUACCUACAUAGAGAAAGGCAAAUGCUCUAUUGAUAUGCGAGAUGAUUUUAAGAAAGAACUUAUGAGACAUAGCAAGGAAGGAUUGAUUUGACAGAAUGGAUGACUUCUAAGUAGCUGGGGAUGUAUUUCCUCAGCAAGGUCAUGGCAAAGCUACUACCCUUCUUACAGUCGAUGACUAUCUUGGAAGAAGGUACAUUAUACAUGAUCCCAGCUAUAAGCAAAGGUAUGUAAGACUCCCCUUCUUUCUUCCACGUAGCUCAGGGAAAGGGUGCAGAAAAAAGGAAAGCAACAUACUUAAAGAGUCUUAGAUGGCCCUUAAGGAGGAGGAUGAGCCCGCUACAAAAAAGCCCAUGCCUAAGCAAGUUAUGGGAGUGAUUGAAAAAGUUAAAGGAUGUGAUACUAAUCAAGCUGCCUAAGAAACUCCCUCCUAGAAAAGAGUAAGCUCGGUCGAUCGAGUCAGAACUACGGUAAAGCCCCCUGCCACAGGACUCUGCAGGAUGACACAACUAGAAUUGGAGAAACAAAGAAAACAAUUCUUUUGAUAAAAAAAUUAUAGCGCUUGAAAUAUUAGAAGCCUUUCCAAUGUUGAAAAACAAUUCUUCUGAUAAAAAUUUUCAAGUACUAGAAAUAUUAGAAGUACUUCCUAAAACUAUUAUCAAACUGAUUCUUAAUGUGUUAACAAUUCCAUGAUUUUUGGCUAUUAAUACUUCAAAUGAUGUGCAAUACACUAAAUUGGAGCACAGGAAGACUUGGCACAUGAGUCAGUCGGUGGAGACUUCGAUUAUUGCUUUAAUAUGAUCAUUAGUGAGAAUAUCUCUGUUUGUGUGGGCUGUGGCACAAGGGAGAGAAAAAAAGUCGGCAAAACAGCAGGGGAGAUGAGAUUUUUUUGCUGUGGAAGAAGCUUUCUCUGUUUUCUCUGUGGUUUUUACUUCCUUUGUAGCUCAAGCAGAAGAGACUACCACAGUAGGUACGCUACCCAGCUAUGUUUGCAGUGGAAUAAAAGCUCAGGGGCACAUGCCCUUUUUCCUCAAUUUUCCUCCAGUAAUUACCCCACAAUGCAAAAUCUAACUCAGACAAUUGUACACAAAGUGACUAUCAGAUACAUGGUUUGAUGAUGGAACGCCAAAGGAAAACAAGAGAAACAAAAAGGGUCUAGACCAUUUUCAUUCAAAGGGCUACAGAGGUUAUUGAAACGUGUUUUGUUGAUUUUGUUCUUCAGGGUCAAUCUGCUUGUAUGCCUCCCAGUAUCUCUCUGUCACCCUAUGCCACUGCCUCUCAGCCUGCAAUCCCAUAAGACCCUGGGUAUUUCUUUACAUUAUACUACUGCUAGUACAUUAUAUUAAGCUAAGGUUGUGCAAGGUGAAGCCACUACCACCUUGAGUUUAGAAGGUACCUUUAUUUUUCUAUGGGAAAAUACAGUCAUUUUUCCUACGGAUAACCAAUCAUUUGCAGAUGUAUGCAUGUGAUGGACAAAAUUAGUUCAUAACAACCAUUCAAUAUUCAUAAUUUACCAUUGCUUUCAUCAAUGAAUAGCGAUUUAUGGAUUGCCGUAAGGAGACCGACAAAAAAUAUGAAGAAAAUUAACUUUCUCUAUAAGCUAAAGCAUGGUCAUGGAUAUUGGGUAGGCCUAAGGAUAAGAGCAAAUUUUUUAGGGCUAGUAAUACCUGCUCCUUCUUCCAUGUUAAUAUCUUCCUCUUUCAUUCCAUGGGGCAAUUUCCAAUUGAAGUGAUAAAGGAGAUUAGCAAAUGUGAGCUCCAACAUUGCAAUCCCCAUGUUGAUCGCCGGACACACUCUUCGCCCUGCCCCAAAAGGCAGCAGCUCGAAAUGUUGACCUUUAAAAUCAAUGGAGUUGUCAAUAAAGCUCUCAGGGAAAAACUCUUUUGGGUUCUUCCAGACGUUGGGAUCUCGCCCAAUUGCUCAUACAUUAACAUGAACUCGGGUUUUUGGGUGAAUGUGGUAGCCAUUCAUCUGAAAAUGGGACAUGGUUUCUCUUGGAAGUAGAAGUGGGCUAGGAGGAUGUAAUCUGAAAGUUUCUUUAACCACCAGCUUGAAGUAGAGAAGCUGAUCAAGAUCACUUUCAGUGACUUUUCCUUUAUUUCCUAUGACGCUUCUAACUUCAGCUUGUGCUUUCUUCAUUACUAUUGGGUUCCUUGCAAGCUCUGCCAUUGCCCAGACCACCGUCGAUGCACUAGUGUUGACUCCGGCCAAGAGUAAAUUCUGAGACAAAUAAAGACCUUGGUAUGCUAAGCAAAAGAAGCAGCACCAGUUUUUUGUUUGAAGAGUCAGAGAAAGAGGUCUGCUUGACAUAAUAAAUAUGCUCAAAGGCAUUCUACCCCAGUACCACUUCUUUCCCUGGUAUGGCAGGCUAUUUAUAUGUACUAAAAUAUGAAGAUGAAGUUUUUGUUAAGAUUUUUUUUUCUAUAAUUCAAAGUUAUAUAUAUAUAUAUAUAUAUAUAACUUUGUGUGGACCCCGCAUCUCGGCUUAUGCGUUUCCCACUCAAUGGCGAGCUCGAUUUUUAUUUGAAAAAAUUGAUUUUAUUUAUUGUUUAGACAAAUCACUUGGAGUCGUCACUUAUUUUUGUUUUAUUUUUAAAGGGUAAACAAAAUAAGAAAGAAAACCUUAAGUGUGACUCUUUAUUUUGGAAAAGGUAGUCUGCGAAAAAACGGAUCGGAUUCGGGGGUCAGGUUACUUAUUGGGAAGGUACGGUAAAGACCGUAGCACUCCUCUAAGUCCCUAGAAACGAGUCUCUACUAAUAAAAUAAAGCUGAUGUGGCAAUUAAUGAGGAAAACAAUAAAUACCUGGAACUAUCAUGCACAUAUGAGAAUCAAAACAUGUAUAUAGAAAGACCAGAGUGGGAAUAAAUACGUACCUGGGCGACGAGCCACAAUAAGAUAUCAAAAAGUGAGGUUAGUGCACAAUUAAGAAAUAAUUUCAAGCAUCUCAUAUAGCAAAAUAACAUCAAUCAUGCAUGGUAAUUAAAUCAAUCAAUCAAUCAAUCAAUUAUAAAUUCACUUAUAUGGGGCCUCUACCAAAACUCAUUUAUUUUUACAUGAAUUAAUUUCAUAAAUUCCAUUAUUCGGAAUUACAAAAUUUAACUCAUGUUUAUUAAAAAAUGUGAAAAUUAGGAAAUUAUUAAAAAUCAAUGAGGAUUUAUAAAAAAAUGUGUGCCAAAAAUAAAUAUGGCAAUCAAUUUUAUUUUAAAAAAAGAAAAAUAUUUAAAGUCAAGAAAAGAGAAGAGAAAGAGAAAAUAAUAAUAACAACAAUAACAAUAUUAAUAAUAAUAAAAAUGAAAAUAAUAAUGAUAAUAAUAGUAGAAAAAAAUAAAAAUGAAAAUAUGAAUAAAAAUAAAGUAAAAGAUGCAGGAUGAUUAAACAAAAUGAUAAGAAUCAAUUUUUUAAAACAAUGCAUGGGAAUAUAGGGGUGAGACACGUGGGUUUCAGGAGCGGCCCACCAAAGGGGGCCAUGCAUGCCAGGCUAGAAAGAGAGAAUGGGUCCUAAAGGUGCCACAGAUACCUCCAAUUGGAUAUGACUUAGCAACCACUCGUUUCCAAUGUUCAAAGUCUGCAGUGAAAUCCUCCGGUGCUGCUCUGCCAUAAACCCCAACCUGGGAACUUGUCAAUCAGUACGGAGUUUUAUCCAACCUUGCAGGUCAUAGCUCUAGCCAUUGAGAGCCGCGUUUCGAUGUAUCAACUGGCACUUUGCAUACAUGCUCGCAAUGGGAUAUUCCAGGCAGCAUUUGCAUUUUCUAAAUCAGCACAGAUUGGAGAUUCAUUUUUGCGACCUUUUCUCAUAGCAAUUAUUAGAAGUAGGCUUCUUAUAUAUUGCUGCUGUCACACGAUUCAUCACAUCCCUUUUAAUCAACCUGGCCGUGAACAAUCGGAUAGCUUAGAUUGGUGGAGCUCCGAUUUUGAUUCAAGAACGACUUGUUGACAGCAACAACUGUCAAGGCAAUGAAGCACGGCUCCACGUUACCGGCAAAACCCAUUUUAGUAUACCCGGUGCCGUUGUUAAUGAUCACAGCGGGGCGAGAAGCGGCUGAAUCCAUGUGAAGAGGAAAAGAGAUCGAGGCAAUUGCGGUGAUAGCAGUAACGGACCUGUGUCAGAGAUCUGAUAUAGGGUUUAGGCUGGUUGAUCACGGUCGUUGAAGGCGCCUCCAAUAAGGUGGCAGUGAUGGCGAUGUCACAUGCACUCUUCUAACCCUCAAACCUUGUAAUGAUGACCAUCCUUGCGAAAAUAUCGAAGUGCUUUUCAGUCAAACAGGAACAGAGAACCAACUGGAGGUGCAUUAGGUGGAUCAGAUGCAAAAUAAGGCGCUGAUGAUUCCAAUCUAAAGGAAGUAAGGAUGAUCCGCACGUAAACCGAGGAAACUGGGCAUCCUAAACAAUGCAUGGUCUAGUAUCAAAGCUGAUGAUUUGAUUCCUAGUCUUACAAGUAUAAGAAAGGCUUCCGUCUUCACCUAUGUGUUAGCUGCUGCUUGAGGGAUUAGAACUCGACUGCGAUGACUGAAGUUGGCGUGGAUGAUCAGAGUUUGGAUGCUCAAAGCCAGAACUCUGGAAGGCCUGAUGGAGAUGAGGUUAGAUAGAGCCCCAUUGAUCCAGCUGGUUGUUGGUCAUUGGGCCUUGAAAGCCCAUGCAAAUACCUGUUGUUAUGCUUGCCAAUAUCUCUAGGAGACAAAUUAAGUGCGUCUCUUAAACUGUUGGUGGCUGCACCAGUUUGUUCUGAGAAGCAAGUUCCUCAAGAUUCCGGUCAAAAGCCUCCGCCGGCGUCGUUCGAGGACAGCUUUGCUUGGUUUAUUAUUUUCUCAAUUCCUCAAUCAACCCACUUUGAAGCAUCCAGCGUAAUGGAGCACUCAUUCAGUUUGUUAAAUGGUGAACUUGCAAAGGCCUGAUGGCUUGUACAUCCCAUGCAGAGGGUUCCACUUUACAUGUUGAAUUCUUUUUUUGAUAUAUAGAACAGUCUCAGCGAUCGUAGCACUAUCUCAUCCUUGCAAUAAGUUUCCUUACAGCAGCAGCCAUUUCCGAUCUUAGAAAUUCCAAUUUUCUCUUCGAUGACCCACAAAAGCCACUCCGAACUGGCUAUUUUAACCUCGGAAGAGUGGGGGGUAAUCUCAGCUGUUAGUGAAGCAUAUAAAUAAGCUGUAGUUGGAAGAUGCAUAGCUAAACCCUUCUCUUCUCUCCCAUAAGCAUCAGAUUCUAACAGUUGAUUAGAAAUCUCAAGGACCAUCACUUUAAACUGCAUAAUCAAAACGAGAUCUCCACCAAUGCUUCUUAUGGAAUUUCGGGGAGGUUGAUGGACAUCAUAGGCAUUACUUGAGUAUCUGCAUUUUAAAAGGCACAGGAACUUCAAUAACUUGAGUGGACACCACUUUAGGAGGCAUAACUGACCUUUAUCCUCUUCACGAACCAUUUCCGACAACAACCACCGGACUCCAUAAAUACAUGCGCCUGCAUAUAACCAAUGCAAGGGACUGCACCAGUCCGACAUUGAAACCAAAUGGCCUGCCAUGAAGACCAUGGGUCUGAAUUUCUCAACUCUAGAAGCCAACAAUGAAUCGGAUUGCCAUACUGCACUCCAGAAUCUUGAGUCCACAUUCGAUACAGUCGUAUCCAUCCAACUCAGAAAUGACUCUGAGAAUAGUCAUCAUCCACAUUGACAACUGGAAAUAAUCCCUCAAAAUCCUUGAUGCUAGAUAAAACAAAGGGGAUUUCUUCAAAAGACCACGUAGCACCAGGAUGAAGCUAAUUUCUUCAAUAGAGCUCCAAUCCCUGGCUUCUUUCCACAGCUGAUGCUAUUGGACCAAAUUAAACUUUCCCAGAAACCUCCUGAAAAUGCACUAGAUGUCUUCCCCCAGCUUCCUCUCUCUGCUCCAUCGCCUCAGAUUUUUUCUCCAAGCUCCCCCUCAGAAAAGAUCUCUGCCUCCCUCUCAGUCCAUAUAAUGAACAAGAUCCAGGAAUGGAAGUGGCCUUGAUAAUGAAAAAUGCAAUGAAAACAGAGCAUAGAAGAAACAAAUAAAAAUGUCCUCAAAAGGGGCUUCACAUCAUGAAUCAUCAGUGAACCUCCUUCUUAGGUGAGAAAAAUAGCACCAAAUGCAAAUAUUGGAAGGAUUAUUGGGUAUUUCAUAACAGAGACAAGGUACAUUAAGAUCAACAAUGGCAAACACGAGUUCAAGAUUAUAUAUCAACAAGCAACAAGUGGCCUUCAUCAUCCACCCCAAGCAAUCCAACAAACGUCCAAAUAUCAACAAGAAAUGUAGAGGGAUAGCAAAGAUCCGAAAUCAAACAAUAAGUCAGUUGCAUCCAUACCUGAGUGAACCCUUUUCCAGUGAGGCUCUGUUCAACUCCAAGCGCCUUAAGUCCUCCUCCAAUGCCGAUGAAACCAGCAAGCUUACCUCUCUGUAACUCUCUUACCAGCAGCCUCCUCAAGUCCCCAUCCUCCCCUCUGUCUUGACCUCCUGUGAAAGCUCCAUCUUCUCUCAGGUUCCUCCUCCUCCCCGGUAUCUCCCUCUCUCUCUGAAAAUAUCUUUUUUUUUUUUUGAAACGUCUCUCAACCCCCUCCCCAGCUGCCAGCCAAUCUCUCACCCAAAAGGCCACCUCCUUCCUGUAAACGAAUCUCCUCUAACAGAAAAUAUGCGCUCCUCACUAACGGCCAGAAUAUCUCGAUGACACGUGUCAAACUCUCACUUGCUCCUCAAUUCCACUAUCUGAUUCUAUGACCACCAACCACGAGGCGACACGUGGCCCUAAUGAGACUGUAACACUUGUCAAAACAGGCUGCCUGGGAGAUGAGGCUCCAAAUGGGGUCUACACUUUGAUAAUAAUAUUGUAUUUGUCAAUAAAAAUAUAAAUUUGAUAAGUGUGCAUUCAUUAUUAAAUUAUACAAAUAUUAUUGAACAAUAAUAUUAUAAUAUUUUAUUAUAAUAUGUCUACUUUUAAAAUAUAUUUAAUAUUAAAAUUAUGAUAUAUUUAAUUCAAUUGUAUUAAAUAAUAUAAAAUAAAUAAUGAUAAAUAUAUAAUUUUUUAAUAUUUAAUUAAUAUAUUUAUUAUAUUAAAAACACUAUGAAUAAAAUUAUCAUGAUAACUUUUAUAUUUUUGUUAAUCAAUUAAAUAAAAUGUUUUCAUUUAAUUAUAAAAUAAUUAUAAUUUAUUUAUUUUUUAAAGUAUUAUUUUAAUAUUUUGUUUAUAUGAAUCUAUGAUAACUUUUAAUGUAUAUGUUUAGUGCAUAAUAUUUAUUAAGGGAUAAACUUGUCUCAAUGAUAGGGAUGACAAUGAGAUAGGUUUUUUCAAAUACUUAGGAUGGGUUUGAGGCAAGUUUGGAUCCCUUUUUAAUUUUUUUAAUAGAAUAAGGAUAAGAAUUAUUUUGAAUAAAUGAGAUGAAGUUGAGAUGGGAACUAGUUGUCAUCCCUAUCCAGUGGUGAUUGCAUGUGAUGAUUGAACCUUUUGAUGGGAUUCAAAUCCCCUCAAUUAUUUUAUUUGUUCCUUUGAAUUCUCCUGGGAUGUUAUCCCUGGGAUUUUACAUAUAUUUUAUCUAAGUUUAUUUUUUAGUUCCUUUGUACUAUAGUGAUUACGAUAUCAUCUUAGAUUCUAUUUAAAACUGUUAUUUUUGUGACGUCAUCAUAAGUUCUAUUUGAAUUUAUUCUUUGUUCCUUUGGACUCUUAUCAUUGGGAUGUCAUCCUAAGUUCUAAGUUUAUUUUUAGUUGUUUUGUACUAUAGUGAUUCAGACAUCAUCUUAGAUUCUAUUUAAGUUUAUUCUUAGUCUUGAACUUUUAUUUUGUGACAUCAUGAUAGGUUAUAUUUGAGUUUAUUCUUUGUUUCUUUGGACUCCUGUCAUAGGAAUGUCAUCUUAAGUUAUAAGUUUAUUUUUAGUUCAUUUGGACUAUCAUCAUUAGAACCCGAUCUAGGUUCUAUAUAGAUCUAGCUUCUAUAUAAGUUUAUUCUUAAUUUCAUUGGACUCUCUAUCCUUCUGAUACUAUCAUUGUAGCACAAUCACAAAUUUUGUCUUUUUCCUUUUAACUCCCAACUCCCAACCUUUACACAACACACAUCCCAAGUUUUUUUUCUUUUUCCAAUUAUUUAUUUAUUUUUCACAUUUGAAUUUAUAAUUUAUUUUUAUUUUUGAUUUACAUUUAAUUAUUUGAAUAUUCAAAAGUUUCCCAUUUCCACAAAUAAAAAAUUAUGUUCAUAUAUUUGCAAUCUUCCUUAUCUAAAAUUAAAUAAAUCAAACAAAAAGAAUAUCUAAACUAUUUAAUGAAUCCGAAAAACUAAUCUAGGGUUAAAAUCAUACUCUAAAAAAUUGAUUUUCAAAUUCCAAAAUCUCAAAUAUGUGCCUUAGGUUAUCUAAUAUUCGUAAGUCAAAAAAUCUAAUUUAUACAACUUUUAAUAUGAAAAAAACCUUUAUAUCAUCUUUUAAUUUAUUAUUAUUUUUAAAUUUAUGGUUUUACCCUUCAAAUUUAAUUAGGACAUUACGGAAGGUAUGAGGCUUGUAAGCAUCUUUGAAUUGUGAUAAUUUUUAUUAUUAUUUAUUUAUUUAUUUAGAUACUUAUUUUAUAGUCUACACUUGCGGCCUGCCAAAUGUACAGACACCGGGGCCUUUGUGGCCUACUUACCGGAUUCAGCAUCAGAGCCAUGCACGCCAGCCCUAAACGCCCCUUUCGGAAUCCUGAAAGGACCGUGAUGACAGAGACUGACAAGACCUCACAUACAAUUGAUAAUCAUGGUGAGAAAAUUGGAAAUUAUCUUCUUCCAAAAACUAUUUUUAUUACACAAUUUGAAAUGGUGAUUUUGACAGAGACUAGAUAAUUCAAACACCAGAGCUUACCUCUGCUUUCCUACCCAACUGGCAAUUGAUAGAUUCUGACAACCAGAUCUACCGAAGAUAUCAAGUAAACUUCUUCAUAAGCUCAUUUUAUUUAGUCAAGGAUAUUUGAUUGGCACAAGGCUUAGAGCAAUCUUUUUAUGGACAGAGAGGCCUGGUGCUUCUUCCAUGUUGAUAUCUCCCUCCUUCAUCCCAUGGGGCAGUUUCCAAUUGAAAUGAUACAAGAGAUUGGCAAGUGUGAGCUCCACCAUUGCUAUCGCCAUAUUCAUGGCAGGACAAACUCUUCGCCCCGCCCCAAAGGGCAGAAACUCAAAAUGUUGUCCUUUGAAAUCAACGGAGUUGUCAAUAAACCUCUCUGGGAAGAACUCUUCUGGGUUGUUCCAGAGGUUGGGAUCUCGCCCAAUCGCCCAUACGUUAACGUAGACUUGGGUUUUUGGAUAAAUCUGGUACCCACUAAUCUCUAUAGUGGACAUGGUUUCUUUUGGAAGUAGAAGAGGAACAGGAGGAUGUAGUCUCAGGGUUUCUUUAACCACCAUCUUGAGGUAGUGAAACUGCUCAAUAUCACUUUCCCUGACUUUUCCUCUUUCUCGGAUAUGACUUCUGACUUCAUCUUGUACUUUCUUCCUCACUCCUGGCUUCCUAGCAAGCUCGGUCAUUGCCCAGACCACGGUUAUUGCACCGGUGUCUACUCCGGCCAAGAACAAAUCCUGCUCAAAGAAGUAAGCCUUAAUUUCAACAAUCAAAAUUGAAGCAACAACACAUUCAUGAUAAAAAAGUAGCUUACCAUAAGGAUUGCUUUAACAUGAUCUUUAGUGAGCUUAAAUGCACUAGAUUCAUCUUGUUCCUUCUCUAUGUUGAGAAGCACGUCAAUAAUGUCCUCAUGCUCCUCUUUCAUCCUUCCUGGAUUGAGAUGCUCCUCAAUCACCUGUUGGUAAAAGCAAUCCAAUUCAUGGAAACUCUUCUCCAACCUUUCAUGAAUCCCAGUGAGUCUAUCCACAAUCCUACCGACAUAUGGAAAGAAAUCAGCCGCAAAGAAGCUGCUCAUCAUGGCAGUGGCUUCAUGAACCACUUCUUGAAAUCUCCCUUUACCGAAUUCACUCCCUUCAAAACUCCUCCCAAAUGCAAUCCUGCAAAUCAUAUUUGCAGUGAGAGACAUGAUCUUGUCAGUGAGGUCAACGGGGCUUGCAGAAGAAGAUGAUUGUGCCAAGGAAUCAAUCAGCAAAGCAACCUCUGCUUCUCUGAUGACCUGAAAUGACUGCACCCUAUUCGUGCUGAAAAGCUGGAGAACGCAUAUCUUUCGGAUCUCCCUCCAAUAUGGGCCGUAUGGUGCAAAAGAUAUGUCAAGAUAAUUGUAGGACAGUCUUCCAAUGCUGAUUAAGGGAGGUCUACUGCAACAGGAAAUAUCAUGAUCUUUCAACACCUUUUUUGCAGCUUCUGCGGAUGAGACUACAAGGGUAGGAACAAAACCCAGGUGAAGGAGCAUUACAGGGCCAUAUUUCUUAGAUAGUUGCCACAGAGAUUGGUGAAUCAACGCACCAAGUUGGUGCAAGUUACCUAUAAUGGGAAGCUUAGGAGGGCCAGGAGGCCCCUUUUGCUCCUUCAACUCUAAUAUUUUCUUCAGAAGAAACAGCAGUGAGAGGAAUAGGAGAACCAGGGGAAGCCACAGAUCCGGGGAAUAGGGUGCCAUUGAUGAUUAGUUGGAUUCUUAUCAACAAUAAAUAAGCCAUGGACCCCCUGAAAUUCCACUGGUACACAGUGAUUUGUCCUGUUCAUCUGUGGAUAAACCAUGAACCUUCAAAAGCCUUCCUGUUCACACAUAGCGAAAGUCACUUUAAGCCCAAUUAUAAUUAAUCAUGACCCCUUCAAGUCCUAAUUACUUAUUUGUCCAAUUAAUAGGUAUAUCUCUUGUAAUCACUUCAAUUUUUUCCUCCUUCCUUAGGACCCUUUUGGGAGUGAUUUUAAUAAACUUAGAAACGUUUUUCUUAUGAUUAGAAAUGCCUCUUUGUAGAAAUUAGGUGUUUUAUAAAUUUUAAAAAUCACUUAAAAUGACACCUGAAAAAUUAUUUAACAUAUGAUUCUUUCAAAAUCACUGUAAAAUGUAUAGUGAUAUUUUGGCCGGUUUGUAAUUUCCAAAUCACAAUGAUAUUUGAGGACAACAUUUCAACAUCCCACCUCAUCAUGUUGAAAAUCUUGGCAACAAGAAAAUCCAACAAGAUUCCUAAUUCCAUCCAUGAAUCAUAAUAUACAGCAUUCCUUUAUCAAGGGGUUAAAAAGGAAAAAAAAAAAAGGAUACAUGGAAACACCUUUCACAAUUCACUCAAUCAAUCAUUUCCAAGUUUUGGAAUUUUGAAAGGAAAAAGAAAAAUAUUAUUUUAAAAAUUAUUUUUAAAUAUGAGAAUCUACUUUUUUAAAAAAAAAAAAAAAAUUAUGACAUUUUUUAACACAUUAAUAAAGAAGUUGCCUUUUCAAAAGAUAUUUAAAAAUAGUUUUAAAAUUGUAGUACAAUAUAAAUAACUUCAAAAUGGAUAACCUUAAUAAUUUCAUAAUACAUAAUUAAAUUUAUAUGAUCGAUUAGAAGGUCUUUAUAAAAUAUGUGUCGAGUGUCACUUGUUUUUUCUUUGUCAAUGUUUAUUACUUUCUUUACACUUUUGAGAUGAAAAGUCUUUAUUAUGUUAUUUACUUAAAUAAGUUUUAUUUGAUUAAAUAUUCAUAAAAUAGAACAAUAAAUAAGGCAAUGUUAUAUUUUUUUAAAAAUAAAUAUUUAAUAGAAUAAUGAAUAAAUAUUAAAAAAAAAAAAUCCUCUAAUGAUAUACUAUAGUGUAGAAUGUUGUCAACCAAUAUGCAACACUCUCAUAAAUCUUUUCAAUUUCUACUUCAAUGACAUUUAGACCUUCCUUGCACACCACAUAUAAAAGACUUUUUCAUUCAACAAAAGUGACCUGCUCAAUGAUAAUUUCUCUAAGAGAAUAUCAAUCAUUCCAUCAUUACUUGAGCAAUUAUCCACAGUGAUUAUAGAUAUUUUUCUAUCAAUAUUUCAAUCCAAUAAAAAAAAAUAGUAACACAUAAAAAAGAACUUAUUUCCUAUGAGGAGGAGGCACAUAAAUAAAUAUACAUUAAAUAGCAUAUGAAAACAAUAAAUUAUUAUGACUUUCUCAAAAUCAUUCGAAACAAUCAAUGUCAACUUUCUUUUUUUAGAUGUCAAUGUUCCAUCAGAAGUUGAAGUACUACUAUCCAUAGUUAGAUUAAAACCAAUACUUGGCGUGCAAAAAAUAAUUUCUUCUUUGAUUGUCAUUUUGUUGAACCUAUAGAAUGUUUUAAAAUGGUUUUACAACACUUUAAUCACAAUAAAAUUCUAUUUGUCAUAUGCUUAAAAUUUAAGUACAAAAAUAAAAAGAGAAACAAACAAGUUAAUUUACUAUAGCCUAAGUUCUAACAUUAAAGUGUUAGUCUACCAAAGAAAACAAUAAACUCUUUUAAGUGAAUGGAAAAAAAUUGAGGAAACAAGUAACCAAAAAUUUAUAGAACCUAGAACCAAAAUGGGAUAUUUCUACUUUCACAUAUCCUUUUAAAAAAAAUUGACAGCUUCUUAGAAUCUCUAAUUUCAAUUGUUAGACAUCUCAAGAAUUAUUUGCAUGACUCAUUUUAGACUUAAAAGAAUGAUGUUCUUGUACCCAAACACAAAAUUGAAAUUAAUAUUUUAAUAUAAUAAUAAAUUUGUUCAUGUUUAUUGCUCAUUUUCAUUAAGUUACUUGUUUGGGAAUUUAGUCAAAUAGGCUGAAAAUUAUUAGACUCCAGUAACACAAACAUUUGAUUUAAUUUACAGAGAGAUCUUCAAUAUCCAUUCACCACUUAGAAUCAACCUUUUUUUUAUUCAUUAUUGUUUGAGUUUUGGAGAAAGAAAAGUAAUACGGGGAAAGUUUGGAUAGUGGCAGCAAAGUUGCAAAGGGACAGGCUAACAAGCCAACUAAUUGUCUACCUUCAGCAAAUCCACUCCCUCUUAACCACAAAUAUGAAAAUCAAGUUAAAAUUUAGGGUUCCUCUUCACCGCAAAUAUGGAAACCAAGUUAAAAUUUAGGGUUCUUUUUCCUAAAAAUGAGGAAUCCACAUAAGUUGUCUAUAAGCUGGUUUUAGAGUACCAAAUGUGAUUUUAAAGCAUACAAAAAAAAAGUGAAUUCAAAACUCUCUCACGAGUGAAAAGAACCCUAAAAUUAUAAGAAAAAAACAAUUAUUUAUAUAAAAGAGAUUGUUGGUAUUUUAUAAUAUUAUAAGGGUAAAUUAGUAAUUAUAUGUAUGGGAUAGGGCAAACUGCUACAAAAUCCAUACCAACCUUGAACCCGACAUGGGUUUUGAAAAAUUCCCCAAACUUGUUUCAUACCCGAUUACCAUAUUCUCAUACCUGUCCCAAUAAGAGCAAAUCAAGACAAGUUUCCCAAUUAACCCACGAAACUACCAUCCCUACUUGAACCUUAUCAAGUAUUUGUUCCUUUCAAUCAUAGGUCGCAUUAUUGUCUCCCUCUUUCCAUUCUUAUCUCUUAUAUCCUCCUUUAAAUAAUUAUAAAAUUGCCGAAAGAACAAAAAUGGGAAGGAGGAAAAGAUAGAGAUGACUUCACAAAAGUAAAGUAAAGAAUAAAAAAUUACAACUUUGAAUUAUAUUUUUUUAUGAUGGUUAAUAUUCUUGAAAACAUUGCUUAACACAAUUUCACAAAAGAUAUUCCAUUCUUGUAAUUAAAACAUGAGACUAACAAAAUUAAGCCAUAAUUUCACAUUUUUAAAAUUAACUAUGAAAAUACUUUUAUGGUAGCUUAUAAAUAUUUUUAUAAACCAUCUGUUUAUUGAUUUAUUGCAAUAAAUUAAGUUAAAAGUUCAAGAUUUGUUUGGUAAUAUUUUUAAAAACAAUUUUUGAGAAUGGUUCUCAAUUAUUUUUUAGAACAAUUAUUUUUUUUUGUGAGUUUAAAUAUGAAAAAUAGUUUCUCAACUUAAAGGCAUUUACAAUAUGUAUAAUAAAAAAAAUUAUGAAAUAUUCUUCAUCUUCUAAAAUAAAUAAAUAUACAUCAAAAUUAUUCUAAAAAUAACAUACUUUUGAAACGCAUUUUGAAAAAAAAUAUUGUUUGUCAAAAAUGUUCCAAAUACAUUUUUUAAAUUAGAAAACAAUUUUUCCAAUAUAUAUUCAUAGGAUCUUUAUGAAAUUUUAAAAAUAUUUAAUAAAUCAAUUUAAUAACUUAAGAAAUUAAUAUAAUUUAAUGAUUCAAUUUAAGUUAUUAAGUAUAUAUAUUUAGUAUUAUAAUUUAAAAUUAAAAUUAAUUUUGACAAGAAAACUUAAUGACUUAAUAUAACUUAAUAAUUUAAACAUAAAAUUACUUUAAAUCAUUAUUAAGUAUUAUGUUUUAUCAAAUUCUAAUUGACUUAUUUUUUUUGGCAUAUAAGUGUAAACAUAAUUUUCUUGAUUUCAGAAGAAAACCCCACAUAGCCUUCAUGCUGGUAGUGGGAGGAAAGACAACAUAAGAAUUUUUGGACGGUUUGACGAUAUUUCGUUAUAUUUGUUUUUAAAAAUUAUGUUUAAGUUAAAGAAUGAAAAGUAAAUUUUUAUUGUUUUCUAAAAGCAAAAAUGUUUUACAAGUAAUUUUGAAGUGCAUUCUAUAUAUAUAUAUAUAUAAGGAAAAAGAAAAACAGUGUGGACCCCGCAUUUCGUGCUCAUGCGUUUCCCAUUCGAUGGCGAGCUCGAUUUUUAUUCGAAAAAUUGAUUUUAUUGUUUGAAAAGAAAAUGACUUGGAGUCGCCACUUAUUUUUGUUUUAUUUUUAAAGGGUAAACAAAAUAAGAAAGAAAAACCCUAAGUGUGACUCAUUAUUUUGGAAAAGGUGGUCUACGAAAAACCGGAUUGGGUUCGGGGGUCAGGUUACUUAUCAGGAAGGUACGGUAAAGACCAUAACACCCCUCUAAGUCCCUAAAGUCGGGUCUCUACUAAUAAAGCGAAGCAAUCAUGACAAUUGAUGAGUAAAUCAAUGAAUACUCAAAUCGAUCAUGCACAUAUGAGUAUCAAAGCAUGCAUAAAUGAUGAUAAGAAUGGAUGUAGCUCGUACCUGGGCAAUGAUCCUCAAUGCGCUAUCAAGAAGUGAGGUUAGCGCACAAUUAAGAAAUAAUUUCGAGCAUGUCAUAGAGAAGAAACAAUCAAUCAUGUAUUAUAAUCAAGUCAAUCAAUAGAUCAUAAAAUCAUGUAGGUGGGGCCCCCACCAAAGCCCGAUUUAUUUUGCAUGAAUUAAUAUCACAGAUUCCAUUAUUCUGGAAUUAUGAAAAUUGCAUUCACGCUUAUAUAAAAUUAAGAGAAAAAAAGAAGAUUAUUUGAAAACUAAAGCGAAAUUAAAACUGUUCAAGUGAAAAUUGGAUUUUUGAAAUUUAUUUGAAAAUUGAAGUUCCGAAGAUUAUCUGAUAAUUGGAGCCUUGGGAAUUGAAUUUAAGAAUGAGAAUUUUAGAUUUUAAAUUUGAAGGAAAUUAGAAUUUUGGGAAUCUGAAAUUAAGUUCAGGAAUUGGAAUUUUGAAAAAAUGUUGAAAAAUGAAAUUUUAAAAUAAAUAAAUAAAUGGAACAACAAUAAUAAGGACGAAAAUAAUGAUUAAGUAAAUGAAUGAAAAUAUCGGAAUUUUUGAAAUUGGAAAUUAAAUUCGAAAGUCGGAAAAUUGGAAUUGUUUGAAGAAGGAAUUUUUGAAAUAGAAUAAUAAUAUUGACGAAAAUGAUGAUUAAAUAAAUUGAUGUGAGAAUUAAAAUUUCGGAAAUUGGAAUUAAAAUUUAUUGAGGAAUUAAUGUUUUUAAGAAGAUAAGUCAUGCAAAUUGAAAACAAAAGGGCUAACUUGAGGUGGGUAUGGGCUUGGAAUGGGCAUAGGCUAACUUAAGGUGGGUGAACAAAUCAACUUGAAGUGAGCAUGGGCUUGGAAUGGGCAUGGGCCAAUGCGGGUGGCUAGCAUAGGGGGCAUGGGGCCUUUCAUCAACAUGCUUGGGUUGGGCUCCAACUCAAGCCCAAACUCGUCACCAAGAGCAUAGGUCUGGGCUCCAACUUAAGCCCAAGGCACCAUCACCAUAAAAGCUUGGGCCUGGGCCCCAACUUAAGCCCAAGGCACCAUCACCAUCAAAGCUUGGGCCUAGUCGUUCACUAAGCUCAUGCGGCACUUAGACAAGUCAAGACGCUUGAUCUUGCUAAGUCAGCCUUGCUCCCCAAUGCUUAGCUUGCUCGGCUAAGACACUUGCGACUCAAAGGCUUAAGAAGCUUGGUAGGCAACUCCUUAAAAAAAUGGAAGCUCUAUUAACUCAAGAAGCCUUUACAAGUGCUUGGAUGCUCACUUGCUUGGUUAGGAAGUGAUUUGGGUGGUGCCUUGGCCAAAUGAGGCCCUCACCUAUUUAUAGGCACCAAGGGAACUCUCUAGAACCUUGGAGGGUUCCUUACAAAUCAAGAAUAUUCUAGAACAUCCUACCCUAUUCUAUGUACAACCCUAUGUACAAGAAUAUACAAGAGAUUCCUAGAAGUCUCUAGAAAGCCUUGGACUCCUCCCAUGCCUUCCACCAUAGUGUAGAGAUGUGUGGACAUCUCUAGGCAUUUCUAGAACCUUCCACACUCUUCCCACCAAUGGCUUAGUGUAGAUGGCUCCAGGAGUCUCCAGAAGCUUCCCUCCUCCUAUAUAAGCCCAUGGGGAGGGUCAUUUGAAACAUCCUGUGACACUCUCCCCCACCGAUGUCGUCGACGUCCUCGUCGUUGCCUCAUUCUGAAACUUCUCGAUGUGUUUCCAGAAUUUUCUCAAGGCAUCCGCAUGUUCCUGGCUUACCCGCCUCUUAGGUAGUCAUUUCCAUUGGACUAGGUACUCUACCACAG